CCCCUGUUGAGAAGCCACCUGUGUAUAAGCCACCGGUAGAAAAACCUCCAGUUUACAAACCACCGGUAGAGAAACCACCAGUGUACAAGCCACCAGUUGAGAAGCCCCCCGUCUACAAACCUCCUGUAGAGAAGCCUCCUGUUUACAAGCCACCAGUAGAGAAACCACCAGUGUACAAGCCACCAGUUGAAAAGCCUCCGGUCUACAAACCACCUGUAGAGAAGCCACCUGUUUACAAGCCACCUGUAGAGAAACCACCAGUGUACAAGCCACCAGUUGAGAAGCCUCCGGUCUACAAACCACCUGUAGAGAAGCCACCUGUUUAUAAGCCACCUGUAGAGAAACCACCAGUGUACAAGCCACCAGUUGAGAAGCCCCCGGUCUACAAACCCCCUGUAGAGAAGCCUCCUGUCUACAAGCCACCAGUAGAGAAACCGCCAGUGUACAAGCCACCAGUUGAGAAACCCCCGGUCUACAAACCCCCUGUUGAGAAGCCUCCUAUCUACAAGCCACCAGUAGAGAAACCACCAGUGUACAAGCCACCUGUUGAGAAGCCUCCAGUUUAUAAGCCACCAGUUGAGAAGCCACCUGUGUACAAGCCCCCAGUCGAGAAACCCCCGGUCUACAAACCUCCUGUAGAGAAGCCUCCAGUUUACAAGCCACCGGUGUACAAACCUCCAGUUUACAAGCCACCAGUAGAGAAGCCACCUGUGUACAAGCCUCCGGUCUACAAACCCCCAGUUGAGAAACCUCCAGUUUACAAGCCACCGGUUUACAAGCCUCCAGUCGAGAAGCCACCAGUUUACGGACCACCUCACCACCCAUAGUACCCUCCCGUAGUUGGCACUACUCGUUUUUAAAGCAUGCUUUUAAGUAAAUAAGAGAUAUAUAAACUUUCCAAAGCAAGGAUCAUAUAUUCUUGGAAAUCUUCAAUUCAAUCUUAUGUUUACAAAUGCUAUUGCCAAGACAAGAGUGUGAAAGAAAAUGGUGCCAUUUGUACUUCAAAUUAUGAAUAAGAACGUUAUGAUUUAGUACUUCUUAUUUUGUGUUUGUUGACUAAAUUUGACAGAGUAUACUUUACUUGUUCCCUAUCAUACCAGUAAGGUGCAUGAAAGUUCAGUCUUGAACGGUGGAAAUAAAUAAUAAUUAAUUAAUGUUUGAAUCUCGAAUUUACUAAAUUAACGAACUUGUAAUUUCAUUGGAAUAUACUUGACUCAGUGGUAGCUUUAGUUUCAACUUGGAAAAUGUCCGUGAUAUGACAAUUUUUCCAAAACAAGUUUAGGUUAAGAUUUUUAUUUUUUAUUUUUGACAUAAUAUACGUUAAGAUUCUUGUGUACUAAUAGAAACUGAAAAAUCAUUUUGGUGCUUAAAGUUUAAUGAGUUGGACAAAUUAUUCACUCAAAUAUGGAAAUGAUAAUGUAGUCUCUUCAAUUAUAGAAUGCCAUUUAAUUUAGUUACCUUUUCAAAAUUAGCAUCACAAUUCGCAAGGUUUUAUAUUUGUGUUGAUGCAUCAGUUAAGAUAAGGAUCACGAAAAUUAGGUUUUUGACUUGGUUUUGAUUAGGGGUGUUUGCGGUGCGUUUUGGUUCGGUUUUGAGCAUAAAAGUCAUCUAAACCUCAAGAUAAAAAAGCAUGCGGUUUGGUUUGAUUCAGUUGAUUUUUAUAUAGUCAUCCAAACAAAACCAAACCAAACCAAUGCGGUUUGGAUUGGUUCGGUUUGUACGGUUUAUCGCGAGAUGAAAAAAUAUUACAUUAACUCUAAUAUUGCCAACUUGUUACAAAAUAAACAUAGGACAUUUUAUUUUGUUGUUUAUAUGAUAAAAUAUUAGGUAAAACUUAUAUCAAAAUAGGUAAAAUUAAGAAGAAACAUAAGCAUGAAACAAAUUAUUGAGAAGUAAAAGAAACAAAUUCAUCACUGAAAAUGAAUUGAAAGAGAUGGAAAGGAAUUAGAAUCGAACCAGAUGGUGCAACAAUGGAAAAAUCUAAUCAAAUGAGAUUAUUCUUGAGCUAUGUAAUUGGGCUAGUACAUGUUUAAGUAAUAUUCAUUAUUCUUGCGGUUUGGUUUGGUACUUGAGAUGCAAACCGCAAACCAAACCGAACCGCGCGGUUCAGUGUAAAAGUCAUCCGAGUUCAUUCGAACCAAGUGCAGUUUUUUGCGGUUUCGGUUUGGAUUGGUUUGGUUUGCGGUUUUUCUAUUGGGUUCGUUCGGUUUUGAACACCCCUAGUUUUGAUCGAUGUUUCCUGAAGAUAUGUUUUGGUAAUUGAACUAAAUAAACUGUCUUACAUUCUUCAAUUAAUGAGAUUAAAUUUCCUUUUUACAAAUAUCAAUGAUUAAUGUCAAGGACUAAAAUGAUGAUUAGUGUCGCGCCAUUUUUCGGAGGUCAAGGCCAUUUGAUUAGCUUUUGACUCACUUUUUAUCUCACGACUGAACAAAAAAUUUUUUAAAGGGGAAAAAGUUUCAAACCACCCAUUUUGAAAAGAUUUAGGGUUCAUGGGUUGGUUAUAUUUAGGGAAGGUAUUAGCACCCUAAAUAUUCGUAGUACUCUAUGAGUACCUCUUGAUUUUAUUUAACUUUUUGUGCUUAAACUUGCUUGCUUUUGAAGAGAUGAAAAUAGAAUUGAAAGAUGAGUUGAAACGAAAAAGAAAAUUGAUUUUAAUUGAAAAGAAAAAAGAAAAUUGUUUUUUAGUUGAUUUGGAAGGACAAGGUCCUCUGCCUACGUACCCGUGAGGGAUCAAAACCUCGUAGUUCGGGGUAGAAAUUGACGUUUGAUUGGUUUUAUAUUUUUUAUUAGUUUUUGAAAAAAGGUUUGAAAUAAAAAGCCAAGUGGCAAAUGAGAAUUGAUUUGUGUUUUUUGGAUUGAAGGAAAUAGACUUGAAGUAGAAUUAAAAUUGAUUUGAGAUUUGAUUAAGAAAGAAAAUAGAAAUAGCGAUCACUUCAUUGAAAGUCAAGGUUUGUUAUAAAAAUAUUUUUUUGUGAUUUUUUGAUAUUUGGAUGUUUUUGCCGUUUUUGAAUAAUGAAUGAAAAUUAAACUAACAGAGCAAUGAAAAUAAAAGUGCGUGGGCGUGAAGAAAAGAUUUUGGUUUAUGUUAGUUCGACAAUAUAAAUAGUAUUUAAUAUAUGUUGUGUUCACUUUGGAUAUUAUCGGACAAAAUUUUGACAAUAAUAAAAAUAAUAAUAGUAAAAUAGAAUAAAAAAUAGAAAGACUAAAGUGAAUCAAAAUGAGAUAAAAAGAUAAAUAUUUAAAACGGAUUUAAAGUUAAUAAAAGAUGGAAACUAAAAUUAAAUGAAAUUUGAAAAUUGAGAGAAGAGGGUCCGACUUGGAACCAAAUAUGAGGUAUUUUAAAAUACCUUCCUAUCGAAAUUUUGUUCGAAAGGCUGAGACCGGUCGGAGUUAAAUGACACGUGUCAGUGCUGCCUUAGGUCAAAAAUUGGGGUAUGACAAUUAGCUCAAUAAUUAAUUAUUGUGAUUUCUUCAUUUUAUAUUUAUAUUUAAGAAUAAAAAAAAAAAAAUGACGAUAUCAACUUUGACACAUUACAUAUUCAAUCAAUGUUGACUUGACCAUCAAUGCUACAUAUCCGGAUGUAAGAGUAGUUCGACGAGUUUAUUUUUGUCACUUUUGUUGAUAUUUUGUUGGUUUAUGCUAUUAACUUGCAUCUAGUAAACUUGUUCAUAGCUUCAUCAUUUUCAGUUUUAGUGACAUGAUAUUUGUGUUGUAUUCAAUGUGAUUUACCGCGCGAUAUGAAUAAUAUAUAUUUUUAGUCAAAAUUAAUCAUGUCGGACCUGAGAUCUUUGGUUUGAUGGCGUUGAACGACCUUUGAGUAAGACAAUGUUAAACCAAAAUGAGUUUUAUACAAUGCCUCUGAAGUUUUGAUAAUAACAAAGUAUAAAAAGAACAAUUGAAUAUGCCAAUGUUGUUCAAGUAUGCUCGACCAUAUAUUAAAAUUCAAAGUAUUAAAUCAAGUUUUGAUUCUGAAAGAACAAGAUUAUGAACAUAUACAAGAGCAUCUGCAACUUAUGAGAAGCUGGAAAUUUGGAUCAGACUCUGAAUAAGUAAGACUGUGAAAGUCGGGAGUGUAACACCCUGAACCCCACAUACUAUUUUUAAAAGUAAUAAUUCAACAUUUAAAUAAACAUAUCAAGAUGUUACUCUUCAUUUUCAACACAUAACAAGUCUCCAUCUUAAAAUAUCAACUCACAGCGGAAAUAAGUCUCAACAACACAAAUGUCAUACAUCAUAUCUCAGAAUAAGUACAUCAUCAAAAUAAACUCAAGGUUCCUCAAACAUAAUAUGAUAACAUAAAUAAAAUCCCAACAUCCUAAUCAGAGAACCACUAGACAAGACUCCAAAAUCAAAGCGGUAAAAGAUGAGUAGGCUGCAAGCCGUCCUCGGAAACUCAUGGUAACUUUGCGUCCUCAACCUGCAAGUCUCCACCACAAGGGCGUAGGCGACCAUUUGCCAAACGUAGGGUAAGAUAUAAAUUUAACAUAGAGGAAAUAUGAACACAUAUAUAGUAUUAGGAUCGCAACAUCAUAUACAAGUAUUCAUCUUAAGCAAUACCAUAUUAACAUGCAUUCUCAUUGAUUGGUAAAAUAUACACAACAAAUCUCAAAUCAUCAUCACAAGAAUAUAAAAAAGUAAACACAUCAUUGAUUAAUCAUCCAAUGGAAUACAUAGGAUUCACACAUUAUCACUUUCAUUAAAUCACACAUUUUCCAUAAAAUACACAUAGUCAUGUAUGCAUCUUUCACAUAGAUUCACAUAGUCAAGUACUCAUCUUCUACAUAGACUCUCAUGUACGAAAUGUUCCUACUCGACUUUAUAUGCAUGUGGUACUGUUUUCGAUAUCAGAGGUAUUUUCUGAGUGAUUUCACCGUCACUUGGACUGACCAUGAAUGCAUGAACAUCUCAUCAUGACUCGACAAUGCAUAAUUCAUAUAACUCGACAAUUUACAUCAACAACAUCAUCACAUCGUAUAUUAAUUCAUCGUCGCUAUAUCAUCAUCAUCAUCAUCAUCAUCAUCAUCAUCAUUUUCAAUGUCAUUAUAUCAUCAUCAUCAUCAUCAUAUCAACAUCUAUAUAUAGUUCAAAUCAUCAUGUCAAACCAUAUCAAUAUGUAUCCACCUCGUCUCGCAAUCACAUUCACAGUCAUCAUCAUUAUAUAUUCAUAAGACAUUAUUCUACAUCAUCAAGUAUACUUCGUUAAUCAUCUAACAAGUUCACAGUCAUUUCAUGAUUCAAUUAUAAUUAAAUCACAAGUUUAUUUCUAACCAUUUCAAUUGCUAAGUUUACUUCCAUCAUAAGCUAGGUUAAUUACUCUUACACAUCAAAAUUAUACUUCUAUUAAUCAAGUUUAGAGGUUUGUGACAUAUUCACAUGCAUUGGAUACCUUAAAAUACCAAAAAUAUGAGUUUCCCACUAUAGGGAGGGUUGCACGGUAGUGCCAUCCAGGUGCACAGUCGUGCUCAUCAUGCAGGUAGGGAAAAGCUAUAAUUUUUGCGUUUUGCUCAGGAAGAACCCCUUUCAACACCAUUUUUCGAUCCAAUUCACACCAAACUAGACCCAAAUCAUAAAACUAAUGUUGUCUAAUCAAUUACACAUUAAUUUUACCUUAACUAACUUUAUUAUACUCAUUAUUAUCGUCAAUUAACAUGAACUUCAAUUGUUUUAAACUUAUCACUUCAAACCCAUUUUUAACAUGGUAAUUCAAACCCCAAACAUAGUAACAACCAAAUCAACAUCCCUUAUUCAAAAUGAACACAAAAAAAUUCAUCAAUUCACAUUAUAAACAUCAACUCAACAAUUAUCAACAAUUAUCAUGAAUUUCACCAAUUUCACAUAAAACUCAAAAACCCUAAUUCACCAUAAUCAAACAUUGAUUUUAACACAACUGUUAGGUUUGUAGUCUUGACAUGUUGGUGCGACAUCAUAGCGUGCCUUGUUCCGAUUUCUUGGAGAUUGUAUUUAAAUGUGAAAUCGCAGAAGAAAACUAAACGCAUCACAACUAAGAAAAGGUAGAAUAAAACCUUUCUACAAACAAAGCGCACAUCACUUGAAAGCAAAAUAAAUACGCAACUAAAUUUCAAAAAAGAUAUGCAUAAAUUAUCAUAGAAUAAGGCACCAAGUAACACGUUCUUACGUCUCAGAUUACCAAAUGGCUCUCCGAAAAAUAACCAGAGUAUGAUAAAAUUACAGAUUUCCCAAAACAAAAGGAACAUAAACUAAAAUACAAAGCACGAAAACAAAGAAGACACAACAACAUAACUCUUCAUCCACUAACUUUCCAUCAACCAAAAUCUUGGAGGGGUCCAGCUCGCUCACAUUAUCAUCAGGGUUAAAAUGCAGAACUUGCGCCCUAGUAUGCUCAAAGCCAUUGUCAAAAUAUAAGGCAAGAUCCCCCUUGCCAUCCUCAACGACGAAUUGAGCUUUGGCGAGAUCCCCUUACAACUAGACGACCUUCUUCUUCCAUGAAUCUCUCUCCAGCUCAACAACUUCUUUUUCAUCCUUCAUAUCUUUGGUCGUCUUCUCUGCAGUCUUCUUAUCCUCCAAGGCUUCCUUCAACCUACUUUCAAGACCCGUUGCUUUAUGCUUCCACUUCUCCACAUCUUCAUGAGCGUCUUUAUACUUUGCCUCUAAAGCACCAUGUUUCUUCUCCAUCACUUUUCCUAAUAAAAGGACCCGGAGCACUAAUAUUCUUGUAUCCAUUACUAGCUCGCCAAAUUUGCUUUUAACGCCAGCAUCAACGUCAACCUUAGACAGUGGCACUUUAUCCUCCAUGUAGCUACGAUAAACGCAUGACUUAAAAGUUGAAAACCCACUAACAUUACUAGAAUUUAAGUAAAAUCUCAUCAUCAAAUUAAACUCUCAUACCUACGAAAGUCGAAAUCUUUAUGCCAAAAAGAGUCAGCCACCUGAACAUUCAGAGAAAUGGUUCCCGCCACCCCGCUAGCAUAAUCAUCAUCCUUCCGACUGGCAACAAAUGUCCGCUUCGAGUCGCCCUUCCCAGUCCUCAUCUUCUUGCGUCUGGGCGAGUCAGUUUGCUCAGCCAGUACCCCAUUGCCUGCCGUCUCCAUGUUAUCAAUGUCCAUAUCCGAAUGUAACAUCCUAAAAUUUUAAGUCUAUAUUCAAAUGUAGUUAAAAAUAUAAAACAUAAUAGUGUAAUUAUUUUAAAAUACGCGAAGAUAAAAAUAAAGACAAAUAAAUAUGAUAUAAUUUCUUAUUAAUAAUUAAAUUUUAUUGGAUAAAAAGAAAAGGAGAAAGAAAGAAAAACAAAAAUAAAGGGAGUGCAAAUAACAAUUAUUUUUAGAAAAGAAAAAAAAAGUUAUAUACUUUCUCGAAUUUUUUUUCUGCCCUUGUUUAUGCAAAAAAAUACAAAAAUGCCCCACUUUUUCGAAAAAUUGCGUAAAUGCCCUACUUUUUCAGAAGCCCCUGGUACUACUCCACUUGGAGUUGCGGGGUACCCUAAAAAGUCACAAUUUUUUUGUCCUUAUUGUACGCCGCUACUUGGACUUGCGGGGUACUUUCCUACUUUUUUUUUUCCACUUUUUUUACUACCCCGCGAGUCUUAGCUUUUGCUUUUUUUUUUAAAAUUUUUUUUUUUUAAAUACCCCUCUACUUGGAGUAGAGUGGUAUAAUGAAGACAAAAAAAAUUCAACGUGUAAUAAUUACUCUCAAAUAAUAAAAAACUAAUUAAAAUUAUAUAACCAAUAAAAUACCAUCUACAAUGAUUAUAAAUGCCCGGCUGUCCCACACCUUCGUCUUCGACGAUCUCUUCCGCGAUUUACUUGAGGGUUAUGUUGGUCUUCGUCAUUUUUAUUUGUAGUUGAUUGUAUCUGACUACCAUAACCCAGUGACAACGACACAUCGUGUUCUCUUGUUGGCCAUCCCAUAUCCAGAAAUUGUUCAUUGGAGUUCAACGAAGUCGGAGAGAAGUGAGAUAAUAGGUUUGUUGGUGUUGGUGGGUGGUUGUAGUUUUGGUUGGUGUACAUUGGGUAUUGUGGGUUGUUGUAGGGGGGUAAUUGGUGUUGGACGGUCCAGCUUGGUUUGGGUCAUUAUAGGAGAAGUAGUUGUUGUUGGAUGUGUUAGCUUGGUUUGGUUCAUUGUAACCAUAAUUUGUCAUUGAAUUUUGUUGGUAAGUUGACUGAUAUUGGGGCUCAUAUGCAUUUCUCGGGGAGGUAUAUGGUGGUGGUUGGAUGAUAUUUUGUUGGGGGGUGUCGAGAAAUUCAUACAUUACAGAACCAUGAAUGUUUUGUGUUGUAUGUGGUUGGGAUUGAUGAUCUUGUAGUUGAGAAAAAAUGUCUUGAUCCCAAAAAUCAUCAUGAAUUGGUGUUUGGUUGUUGUGAAUUUCAGGUUCAUGUUCCGGCUCCGGCUCUUCUUGUUCGUCUGGAUCUGAAUCUGAUGGUUUUGUCUCAACUGAAAUCCUUAGACGUGGGUUGCAUGUGGUUGUCAACCACUCAAUAUACGCAUGAGUUGGGGUGAGUGAUCUUGGCCGCAUGUGAGGUAAAAUAUAACUCCGUCGGUUGUCCCAAUGUAAGCUCUCUUGUGGAAAGUGAAAACCAUUUGAUUGGUACCACAUCUUGAACCGUUUGUCCACUAUAUGGAAUUGUCGCAUGUCUCGUGGGGCCCCUGGUAUUUCCUGUGGCAAACCAAAUUCUAGCUUGACCCUAUCAGUUGGAUGCCAUUCAACUCUGUCAAAACAUAUAAGGUGAGUUGUUGCAGUCCACUCCCAAUAGUCUUCAGGAAAAUUGUGUGGAACAUUCUUGUAUGGUCUCCAUUUAAACUGGCAGAAGAGAGAAGUUGUAGUGUAAGGUUAACAAUUUUGAUAUAUAUAUAUAUAUAUAUAUAUAUAUAUAUAUAUAGUUCGAUAGGUGAAAUAUAUAUUCAUUAUUAAUUAAAUAACUCCUAAUUAAAUACUUGUAAAAAAACUCAUGAUUAAAUAAAUAAUUAAUUUAUAAUCGCGACAUUUUUUUAGUCCUAUAUUAAUUGCAUGUCCUACUUUUUUUUUUCUUACAAAAGAAAGUUAACAUAUAGCUUUUUAUUUCUUUACGACCAUGAAAGUGUUAAUAUGUAGCUUAAAUAACAAAAUAUCUUAAUUAUAUUUAAUUAGACCAUGAAAGUUAGUUUACCCUUGAAAUUACAUAAAAAAAAAAUUACCGUUCAAUAUAUAUAUAUAUAUAUAUAUAUAUAUAUAUAUAUAUAUAAACUCAUACAUUCAAAAAUCAAUUAUAAUAUUACUUGAUGUUCCAGUAUGUCAUCAAACUUUUUUCUGUAAGAUAUAGUGUCAUGGCUUGGAUUCUCGUAGUAUCUUGAACCUGCACCUGUCCAUCUAACAAAUGAUAUAAACAAAUUAGUAGCUAAUUUAUCAAAUAAUAAUAUUAAUAAGAAGCGAGAAUAUGCGAGGAAAUUAACAAAAAAAAUAAAUAAAUUAAUUGACCACGAUUACUUUAAUCCUAGCGGCUACUGGAGUGGGUUAUCAUUUCUCGGAGCGAUAUAACUCAACCGACAAUAUCCCCAAACUUGUAACAGAAAAUGACAUCCAGAUAGUGCUUUUAUAUUUGGGUGUGAUGCCUCACACAAGCCACGAUAAAGGUAAGCCAAAACUGCCGAUCCCCAACUAUAAUUUCUUGUUUCAUUAAAAUCCAUUAACAAAUACAACCAAGAGUUGUGCACAAAUAAUCCAGUUGUAUUAGGAAACAAGAACCCUCCAAAGAGGUAUAGUAGGUACCUCCUGUGUGUUGUAUUUUUACCUCCGGAGGAGAUUGUUCACUGAAGUUAUUAUCGACCAGAUUAUCCUUUAAUCACGACAACGAGAGAGUAAAACCAUCAGUUUUGUGUGCUGGAGGAGUUAUUCCCAACAAUUGAGCACAAUUAUUCCACAGAAGAUUUGGAGGAGCCGUAACAAUUGGUCCUCCAAAAGGUAAGCCGAGUAAAAUAUAUACGUCUUCAAACGUGAUUGUACAUUCACCCGUUCGAAAAUGAAAAGUAUGUGUUUCGGACCGCUAUCUUUCUACAAGAGUGGUUACGAUGUGCCUAUCAAUUUUGUAACGCCCUAUUUGAGAAACCUCAAAAAAUCCAGCUUGACGUAGAUAAUCUUCAAUAUAAGGACUUGGUAUGAUGUUUUGCCGUGUACGAGUGGUUAGAGGUGCACCCUCUGCAUCCUAACAAAAAAUAAUAAAGGAAUAAAAUUAAAACAUAAUCAAAAUAUAAAUUUAAAAAAACGUGAACAUAUUUAAAUUAAUAUUAAAAAAUAAAAAUGACAUUAACAAAUUAAUAUCUAUAUAUACCCAUCUUCUUAUAUGUUCUUCCAUGGAUCUAUGAUCAUUUUCCAACCACAAGUAUGCCAUUGCUUUAUAGAAUUUGAUUGAAAUAAUCUCUUAUGUGAGUGAGUAAGGAAAGGAUUGAGAUAAGUAGAAUAUGUGUAAAGAGUAAAAAUAUAGUUGUGGUAUUUAUAAUGUAAAACUAUGUGUAAAUGGUAGAAGUAGUAGUGUGGUAUUUUAAUCAAUGAAGUGAAGAGUUCCUGUGUUACUACUGCAACGCAUGCAAGCCAACAGUGUUCAAAUAAACAUAGAAAUGACAAUUGCAUCAAUAGCAGAAGCAUGGUGUUCAACAAUAUUGAAUUAAUUCGUAAACUUUGCCUCAUGAGAUGACCAUUGCAUGUAAAAAAUACAUUAAUUUCUUGCAAGAAAUUUUUGACUGAAAUGACCAAUGCAUGUUUUGAUCACGUGAAGCAUGCUAGCAAACAAAUGGCCGACAAGCUGCCUCUGAAUAACCAAUAGGAACGGCGCGUGCAAAUACUACCCCGCCACUCUGGGUUGCGUGGUACCCCCAGCUGGCGCAUGCUUUACAUACCCCGCCACUCCAGCUUGCGUGGUACCCCCCAGCUGGCGCGUGCUUUACCUACCCCGCUACUCUAGCUUGCGUGGUACCCUCUAGCCCGCUAGUCCAAACUGCGUUGUACCUUUUUUAAUUUUCCCGCUCGAAGGGCAGAUUAAAUUACAUGUUAGUAUAAAUAAAAGUGGUCUGCAUGAUAUCAUUGUAUCAAACCAUUCUACUUCAUACUCUUACUCAUUUCUUAAGAUCAAACCAAUUCAAUGGCACCAAAUAUAAACGUUUUUGUGUACUAUAAUGGAGAAGUUAAACAAAAUGAAUCCGGUAUUUUUUUUCAAAGUCAGUAUACCAAAGGUUUUAAAGUCAGCAUGGCUAGUACUUACUUGCAUCUCAAAAGAAGAAUUGCGGAAAAAGUAUGUCUCGAAGAUAAUAUGGUUGUGUCUGAAAUUAUGUGUCGGAAUCCUAUGUUUGUUGGAACUACCACAAUUCAUUACCAGGCGUUAAGAAUAACUGAUAACGACGAUGUCGAGUUUAUGUUUAACGUACAUAAAAGUCACAGUUCUUUGUCCUAUAUAGAGCUUUAUGUUACGUUUGAGAUGAAGAAUCCAACAUCUAAUUUUGAGUUAAAUUACCCAUCGAGUUCUAGUCAACACCAAAGUCUACCACAACACUACAAUCCGUCAUCGUCGCAAGAACACUACAACCCAUCAUCGUCCCAACCGCACUAUAACCCGUCUCCCAUUUAUGAUGCAUCCUUAUCGCAACCUUUUCAGUCAAAGUGGUCACAAAAUGUGUACGAACCAUCACAAAUAAUAACUCAACCUCAUCCCUCUCAAACACCAUCUCGUUCAACACAACCCAAAACCUUAAACGAUGAAAUCAAUAUAUUCACCUCCCAAUUUCAAGACCAACCAAAUGAUGAAGUUCAAGAUGAUGAAGACGAUGAUGAUGAAGAACUCCUUGCCGCACAAAACGGUGACGAGAACGAAGAAGACGAAGACGACGAUCUGCCACUACUACCAAUUUUACCAAUCAGAGCUUCUUACAACCCACCAAGGUCCAUGCGCAACGUCAAUGAUGACCACUCAACUGAACUUUAUCAUUCAAUGGCUCUUCCGGUCGAUCAAGGUAUUGCCCUAGGGAUGCAAUUUCAUAACAAGAAUGAUUGCAUUCUCGCAAUUAAAUUUUAUCACAUGAAAAAAUCAACGGAUUAUAUUGUGAAAAAAUCAGAUCCUGAAAGGUAUGUCAUCAAAUGUAAAGAUACAAAAUGUGGUUUCAAAUUGCGGGCCUCGUGGAGGAAAAAAACUGAUAAAUGGGAGAUUGGGAAAAUGAAUGAUCAUACAUGUGUCUCAACAGAAAUGACGCAAGAUCAUCAUAAACUUAGUUACAAUGUGAUAUGUGAAAGUGUUAAAUCACUACUACAUAUGGAUACUUCAAUUACAGUGAAGGUUAUAAUUGCACACAUCCGAGAGAAGUUUAAUUACACAGUUUCAUACAGAAAGGCAUGGAGAGCACGGAAUAAGGCGAUUAAAUCAAUUUAUAGUAAUUGGGAGGAGUCUUAUGAAGAACUACCACAAUGGUUGAUGGUCAUGGAAAAAGAUUUGCCAGGAACAAUAAUUGAUUUUCAAACGGACCCAUCAACAGAAGUGGCAAAUGAGACCGUCUUCAAGCGUCUUUUUUGGGCCUUUCGUCCGUGCAUCUCAGGUUUCGAAUUCUGCAAACCAAUUGUCCAAAUUGACGCAACUUGGUUGUAUGGUAAAUACAAGGGAACAUUGUUGUUAGCUGUUGCGCAAGAUGGGAACAACAAGAUAUUUCCCAUAGCUUUUGCAAUCGUGGAAGGCGAGACCAAGGAGGCAUGGAGUUUCUUUUUGAAAAAUUUAAGGCAGCAUGUCACCCCACAAGAGAACAUAUGCCUCAUUUCUGAUAGACAUGUGUCGAUAAAGAGCGCGUAUGAUGAUCCACAGAAUGGAUGGCACGAUGCUCCGACAAGCCAUGUUUAUUGUGUCCGACACAUUGCACAAAACUUUAUGAGAUCAUUCAAGGAUGGAGAACUAAAGAAGAAAGUUGAAUGCAUGGGUAAAAAUCAUAUCUCUUUCCACGUAAAUUCGACAUUUUAUUUGUUUAAAAUGACACAUCUAACUUUUUUCAAAACAAUGCAGGUUACGCCAUGAACAUCCCUACAUUCGAAUACUACCGUUCUGAAAUUGCUGUUGCAGACCGAAAGGCUUUAGCAUGGGUCGACAAUAUUCCCAAACAAAAGUGGACUCAAUCACAUGAUGAUGGUCGACGAUGGGGCCAUAUGACAAGUAACUUGGUAGAGUCACAAAACAACGUGUAUAAGGGUAUUCGAGGACUUCCGAUCACAGCUAUCGUGAAAGCAUCAUAUUACAGGUUGGCGGCCUUGUUUGCUAAAAGAGGACAUGAGGCAGCGGCAAGGGUAAAUUCUGGUGAGCCAUUCUCAGAAAACAGCAUGAAAUAUCUCAGGAAUGAGGUGAUUAAAUCCAACAGUCAUCAUGUCACACAGUUUGACCGGGAUCGGUAUACCUUUUCCGUCCGUGAAACCAUCGACCAUAAAGAAGGAUUGCCAAAGGGAGAAUACAAGGUGGACCUGCAAAAUAAAUGGUGUGACUGUGGACGAUUCAGAGCGUUACACCUACCAUGCUCACAUGUCAUUGCCGCAUGUUCUAGCUUUUCUCACGACUACAAGACUUUUGUCGAUAACAAAUUCACGAAUGAGUGUGUAUACGCCGUAUACAACAUCCACUUCGACGUGGUUCACCACCAGACAUAUUGGCCUAAUUAUGAAGGACUGAAGGUGGUUCCCAACAAGUCCAUGUGUAGGGUAAAGAAAGGUCGUCCACCAAUUACUCGCAUUAGGACCGAGAUGGACGAUGUGGAAACUGAGAGAAGAUGCGGCGUUUGUAGGAUGCCUGGUCAUUCCCGCAAAGAUUGCAUUAAUAUUAGACACCAGUAAAAAUCUAGUCUUUAUUUCGUUUGUAGGAUGUAUGGUCAUUUCCACAAAUAAUUGUAGAUUUUAUGGUAUUUUAUUGGUUAUAUAAUUUUAAUUAGUUUUUUAUUAUUUGAGAGUAAUUAUUACACGUUGAAUUUUUAUUUUUUUUUGUCUUCAUUAUACCACUAUACUCCAAGUAUUUAAAUUUUUUUUUAAAAAAAGCAAAAGCUAAAACGCAAGUCCAACUUGCGGGGUAGUAAAAAAAGUGGAAAAAAAAAAGGAAAGUACCCCGCAAGUCCAAGUAACGGGGUACAAUAAGGACAAAAAAUUUGUGACUUUUUAGGGUACCCCACAACUCCAAGUGGAGUGGUACCAGGGGCUUAUGAAAAAGUAGGGCAUUUGCGCAAUUUUUCGAAAAAGUGGGGCAUUUUUUUAUUAUCUUUGCAUAAACAAAGGCAGAAAAAAAAAAUUCUACUUUCUCCCCACGUUUUCUCAAAAUUUGUUUCUAAAAUAAUAAUAAAAAAAGAAAUAGUUAUUUCAGAAAGAGAAACCGUGUGAUAUUUUUUAAUUAGUGUACACCUACACUUCUCAUGUGCCUAUAAAUAAGAUGCUUAGUUGAACAUAAACUCACACUACAAAACUCUCCUCUCUCUAAAAAAUCAGGUUAGUUCUCUCUCUCUCUCUCUCUCUCUCUCCUUUUCUGAACUUUCUCUAUUCAAUCUAUAGUCAUUCUUUAUUCUUUUGAAAGAGACAAGAUUUACUACUAAAAUAACCUCAGAUUUGGUCCCCACAACCCUUCUUUUGGGAAGAACAACAACAUAGUAUACCCUUCUUUUGGGAAGAACAACAACAUAGUAUUAGAAUGUUCUUUUAUCAGAUGAGAAAGUGACAGUAGUUUAGUUCUUUUCAACCUAAUCAAACCAUGAAAAUAGUUUAGCUCUUUUCAACCAUUCUUUUUCAACAGAAACAUCAUUCAAUAAAAUAAAAUAAAGAGAUCUCAGAUCUGUUUUAGACUUUUAGUAGAAAAAAUUACACGAUUUAAUUAUUGUAUUUUUUAUACUGAUACAAACUAUGAAGAUUGAAACAAAGUUCAUAAGAAAGUUGAGAUCUUGUUUAAUUCAUAUUUUUAGUUUAAAGAAAAAUAAAGAAAUGAACAUUGUUUUAAGAAUGACGUAAUGACUAUUAAAUGGCUUUUAAACAUUCUGACUAUAUAAAAAGGUAGUAACAUAAGUUUCAUUUGAAAUAAAAUAAAAUCAAGCUAUUAUUAAAAUAUAUCUAAUAUAAUCUGAAGAAAAAAAAAGGACGUGAUACAGAGAAACAAAGGAAUUAGAAAACUUUAACUCGUUAUCUCUAUUAUUAUGACCUUGAUAAUGACUAUAGUCUAAUAGAUAGUUUAUUUUGGGUGAGUAUUCUAGGUGAUAUUGGAGCUGCUUUCGACGGAAACAAUAUUGCAACCACUUGCGAAGAAUCCGAAGGUAAGGGGAAUUACUACUAAUAAAUUUUAAAGAUUUUGCAUAAGUUAUGUGCUUAAGUGAUUAUAUGUGAGUAAAUAACUCUACUUGUGAGAGUUAAUUUCUCGAUGAUGUGGUAAUUUCUAGCGAUCAAGUACAUGUCAAAGGACAUCGACUUAUAUGUGUUUUAGUUAAUAUAAUUAGGAGUUUUUGAAAAUAUAAUACAUAAGUAGAAGAAAAAGUUUUGUAAAUGAUGAAUUGAUUAGAUAGUUAUAUUAUGUUUAUUUGGUAUUACUCUUGUGUAAGUGAAUGAGCAUAUGAAUUUCAAUAAGUGUUAACUGAUUUCGAUGAGUGAAAUUAGUUGGAAAUAUAUGAUUUAAAGUGUCAAUUAUGAUUCGACGCGAUAAUUUAUAAUGUUAAUCAUGAUUAAAAACUUCUCUAUAAAAAGAAAUGAUCUAAGAGAGAUAGUUGUAUCCCACCUCAUUAAUUUUAUGGUAUCAACUCAUAGGUAUGUUGUAAAGGAAAGAAACUUAAGAAUGCCAAACUAUGAUCACUAACUUAGUACGUAGACAUAGUAUAUAUAGUUAUAUUGUACGUGUAGGAAAUUCUUUAAAACAAAUGUAUAUGUGCUUUUUAACUAGGCAACAUGAAUUAUUCUUUGUUAAAAUCUCAUGAAUAAAAAGAACAUGUACUAGUUUAAUUGAAUUACCUAAGUUCUUACUUACUGCUGAAAUUUCUAUGCUUAUAAAUAAAUGAAAAAGAACAUAUGCUGGUCAUUAAUUGUUCAGUUAUUAUGUACUGGCUUGAUUUACUUGCUGGAAUUUCUAUGCUUAUACAUAAAUGAAGAGGGACAUAUGCUGGUUAUUAUUUGUUGAGUUAUUAUAUACUGGUUUGAUUUACAUCACUGUACUAAUUGAAUAAAAUUCUGAUGUGGCUAAUCAAUUUUAUAAACAUAAAUGGUUAAUUGUUUGACAUUGUUGAGUUGAAUAUGAGUGUUUUGUCUUGUCUAGAAAGUAGGGACAAUUAAGGAGCUAUAACAGGUCCCUAUACACUCAGGUGUAGAUGAGAAUGAGGAUAGUUAUGGUUUGGUUACUUUGAGGAUCUAUCGAGGGCACUUGUGUUUCGAACGCCUAUCAAUAGUUGGGGAUUGCUUCCCGGCUGAAAGUACUCGUACUACCAGACACGGUGAGCCUGAAAAAACUAGACUAUCUAUGAUAAGGUAGUGCGAUCGGACUAGAAUGAUUAGAGUUUAAGCAUAUCUUGCUCAAAAUACUAAUAAUCAUGAUAUAGUUGCCGAAACGGCCUUAUGCUCAUUAGAGUGGAACCUCCAUGGAGUAGUGAAUUAUGAGAAGAAAAUAAACUAGAGUCAAGAAAAAAAAAGUCAAAAGAGUUCAUGCAUGUGUCAUGUUGAAUGUCAAACUAUUAAUUCAAAUUGGACCUCUUAAAAGAUAGUUUUUUUUUUUUUUUUUUUAUAAUAUGCUUUGUGAUUGUUGUUGGACAGUGAAUGAAAAGAAAAUAUUAUAUCUAUGUAAAUAUCAUUUUACCUUGCUGUAUAUAUAUUAUUUUCUUUUUCCUUAUGUAAUAAAUCACGUGGAAAACUUGUGUACGAGUAAUUCACCCUUCUUUGUUUGUUUUUGUAUCUUGUUGUUUUUUUUGGGUAUGUUCGGACGUUUUUAUAGAUGAUGCCAGAAAGACAUUUAGCUCACUCGGGAACCCGCAUGAUCGAGUUCCUUGAGGUAUUUUCUUUUGCAACACUUAUUAAAGAAGAAAGUAAUAAUAAAUCAAAACACUCACACAAAGACGCCUCAAGACUAUUGGAAUCACCCUAUCGUAUCAAAAGCUCAUGAAUAUCCAUAAGUAAAAACUUCUCCAAAAAGAACACCAUACCCUACUCAUAGGGUGCCAUCUUAUUAAAAUCAUACCCCAUCACUGCAAUCGGAGCAAUGAUCCAACAUAAAGGAAACUUUGGUUUUCCUUCCACCAUCACCAACGAAGUUGAGCCCUCAGGCUCUCCUUGCACCCUAACAAACGAAUCACACCAAUCCUUCUUAAAGUUAGAAGCAUAAGGAGGGAAAAGUUUUUUACUAGGAUAGGCACUAAUUGAAACCCACAUUCCCUUGUUUACAUCUUUCGUCCUAUAAAAAUGGAAGAAGACGCCAACAGAAGGCUCCAAACUCAUCCUUACAAAGUAGUUUGAAUCCACGAAUAAACGCCUAGCUAUUAGGACGUAUUUGCGAAGGCGCCACAUUCAGAAACUUUAGCACAUCCAUCUCAAAAUCCGUAAAGGGUCGUCACCCCAAACUCUUCCAACACCGUCAUAUACAUAAGAAAGGAAUCAUCCCUGACACCCUCCAAACGCUGAUCGCACACUCUCUCGCCUACAUCACAGGGCGACACUGUCACAUCUUUCUCGUUCUCAGUAGCAGAAGUAUCCAUCUUGUUUCAGAAUAAAUUGAUAUCCGAAGGCGACAUAUAUGAAAACACCGCUCGAAGAACUUCUUCAGCUAAAUGAUUCAUCUCCAACUCAUAAGAAUACGUCAAACACAUAAUCUCUUUUUGAGUAGACGGAAGAGGCAUAUAAUGACAAAUCUCUUGACAAGUUUUCCCCCUACGACAAAUCACUAUCACUACCAUUAGAGCUAUCGCUACUAGUGUUGCUAUCAUUGGACAAUUCCCCUAAAACCCUACGAUAAAAAAGCCCUAAUUCGUAAGCUUCCCAAUCAAUCAAGUCAUUAGGAUGUGUUGCAUGUCUUAAAGAAUCUCUCCUCAGUUGGUCUCUCUCAUCAAAAUUCGUAGGAGAGAAGGCGAAAAAUGAGAGAAGGAAAAUGGAAGAGUACUUGAGAAGAUUGAAAACGUGAGCUUAGAAAUCCAGACAAUCAGCUGGCAAGUGCGCGAAUACGGAGAACUAAAAGGCGAAAAAUGCGGAAGUGAAAUGAGGAAAGGAAGGAAAUGAAGGGUCAAAGAGUUUUAGAGGACAACAACAAUUAAAACCCCCUCAAAAAACACGCUCAUCCUUGGCACGAUUGGAGACACGUGUCAAGAUACACCCAGAUUCGAACACGUCACUAUCAUCGAAAGGUCACACAUUUUGGACCAUACAAUCAUGUUAAAAAUGAAAGAUCUCGUCGAUAUAGAAUUUCAAAAAACUCGUUGCCAACUCCUCAAACAGGAAACUUACUCGCCGUGCUGUUACAAAUCACUUCGCCUUGUCCCAAGACUCGUGGUUGGGGGCUGUGAACAAACAUCAGGCAUAAAACGCAUGACUCGACUAGCACACACCCUAGGGGGCUCUAGGAUAAAGCAUAAUCACCCAAGGGGGACUCUGUAAGCUCCAACAACAACAUCCAAAGACAUACACAAAAAAUACUGAUAAACGUAAAAUAAAUUCCAAAUGCUAAUUAAUCAUUUCGCCUUGUCCCAAGACUCGUGCUUAGGAGGCUUUGGACCGUCAAUAUCUUCUUAAGGACCUAGAAGUCCUCCCAAAGGGCAUUUAGACCCUCCUAGAUGCCUAACACCCUUCAAAAGGGCUCUAAGGCCCAACACGCGCCCUUCCUAGGGAGCCGCCUCUACCAGCUUCUAAAACCUCCAAAGCUCGGCCUAAAUACCUAAUACGAUUACAAACCCUAAUACCUCAUUACGUAUAGCUUAAGAACCAUAAAUCAGGCCAAUAGAGGGCUAUAAAUACAACCUUUGAGAGCCUUCUGAAGGCAUGACCAAUACAUUACAAACCCUAAUACGAUUAUUGUACUUUUGCAAGUACAAUGAGGAAGGCGAUAUUGACAGGGAAAGUUUCCACCUAAUUUGGGCUAAAAACAUGGACUUUUGGGGGUAAAAAAGUCACAAAAAGUGACUUUUUUCGCAAGGAGCAGGGCGCCUAGCGCAUAAUGGCAUGCACCUAGCUCAUGUUCCUGCUAGGCUGAGGCGCCUAGUGCCCCUUUCAUGCGCCAGACGCUUCAGUUGUUUAGCUUAGGGGCACCUAUUGUGCACCUGGGUGCAUAAGUGCCUUUUCAGUGCCUUUUCAGUGCUGUUUUUCUUGUUUUCUUUGCCUUUUGAGGUGUUUUCUUCAAUGUAAGAUGUCUUGGAACUUGAGAACAAAAUUCCUUCCUUUGUAAAGACUUCUGAGGCAUCUUGAAUCUUCAUUAUUCAUCUUCCCAAGGUCCACAUAAAUCUUCAAAUGUCUUGCAUUGUCUGAUUUGCUUGAUUUCUUCGUGAAUUACUUCAACAACACCCUAAAAUUGCUAUUUUUCAGGAAGAAUAGAAUUACAAACUCAAUAUAAAAUACAUUACAAAUGUACCGAAAUCAUAGGCAAUUGAUCAAAUACUCUUCUUCUUUGCUGGUAAAACCUACUGAAAUUGACUGAAAAAUGUAACAGCCCUAUUUUCGUUAGAUUUAUUUUAAUUGUUUUAAUAUGUGUUUAUUUAUGCUUAUGUGUGAUUAUUAUCAUUGGGUGCAUUUUUAUGGGUUUUCGUGUUGGAAGGAUAAUUUAGUAAUUUCAUGUAAGGAUUAUUUUUAGUGUUUCAAGUGAGAACCAUUAUUUACUAAGUUACUAGUGUGGUAAUUAGUUGUGAGCCGGUAAGUGAUCGUUGUUAUUAUUUUACCGUUAAGGGAGUAGAAACAUUUUAGAAUUAGUGAAUUAGUGGGUUAAGCCCACUAAGGCAUUAGGGUUAAACCCAAUUGAGAAGAGCCUAUAUAAGUUCUAGAUUUUAGAGAAAAAUAGGUUUCCACUUCAUUUCAUAAGAAUUUUGAGAGAGGUAGAGAUAGAAAGUUCAAGAGAAGAGGAAAAUGGUUAGAAGGGAGAAAAGCUUGAAGACUCAAGAGGUGAUAGAGAUUCUAGGACCUAAAUUGAAGCUUUUGCUAGGAUUUUUGCUAAUUGAGGUAAGGGGGUUAGAUUUCAAUCAUAAUAACUUAGUUGUAGCUUUUACCCUAAUUUCAUGUAUAAAUGCUUAUUUGUAUAAAGUGAUUAUUAUGAAAUUAAUUGAUGAAAUUCGUGGUUAUGCUUUGAUGUGAUGUUUGGGUAUGUGAAAUUGAUGUUAAUUAAGUUGUUGAUGAAGAAUUUACAUGCUCAAGUUAUGUAUAUAUGUAUACUUGUGUUUUUGCUCAAAAUUGAUGAAGUAUAAUGUUAUUGUUGGUGAAUUGUUGAUGAAUUCACUUCUGAUUGUUGUUGUUGUGAUUGUGAGUAGUUGUUGUUGAUGAUUGAAACCUUGGGUAAUCUUAACCAUAGAGCUUGAAGUGAGUUUCUAUUGUUCUUGAAGUUUUCAUGAAAAAUAGGUCAAAUGGUAAUUUUGUUGAAAUUAUGUUGGAUUCAAGUUUUUAUAUGGAUUUGAGUGUCUUUUCAUGUUUAGACAAACUUUGGGAUCAAAUUUGGGUAUUGGGUCAAAAUUGGGAUUUUGGGGUGAAAAAUGAGUUUUUUUUUGUAGUAGAACUCCAGAAGCCUGUCACAACUCGCCAUGGCGAGCGGGAGGCGAGCAGGAGGUGCUUCCUGUGUGUUAACUCCCCAUGGCGAGUGAUUCACUCACAGGGCGAGCUGCACAGUGACAUCAUUCCCUGUUUCGCAAUCUUGCGUCUUUUUCACAUAUUUUUGUUUUGAAUUGGUCUUUGGUAUAAAUAUGAAAGUUUUAGAUAAUUGUGUUAGCUUUCCAGUGGCGUUGGUUUGACUUGAAAAUGAUUUUUGGUUUUUGAGUUAUGAUGAAAAUACUCCAAGGAGGUCUUAGUGAAAUUUUAUGAAAAUUCCGCAUAACUAUUUCUAAGUCAACCCAAAACUUAUGGAUUGUUUCCAAACUUCAAAACUUGUGUACUAUGAGUUAAAUUAAUGUGUUUAAGAGUAUUUAAGCUACGUUGUGGUGAAUUUAACUUGGUUUUGUUUUGAAAGUGAAUUGGUUUUACAUUAUGAGUAAAGCGAUACGAACUUUGCAAAACUUUGAAUUUAAGUGAGUUGGCCUAUGGGACCUUGAUGUAUACACUAUUGCACUCAUAUGUGAUUGGUGUAUAUACUUAGUUGAGGUUUCCAAAUGUGUUUACCUUGUUUUGUCGGAUAACUUGAAAAUUGGUAAAAUGAUACGAACUUGUCGUAACCUGUGAUUUUGAUGAUUUUGUCGUAGUAGGCCGGUGAAACGCACAUGUAUAUUCAACUACACUCAUAUGUGAUCUAAGUGUAUACAUAGUCGAGGCCCUAGAGUUUAUUUACUUGGUGUUAGUUCAUUUGUCUCAAUUAUUUUAAAGUUGUAAAAUGAGAGUUGAACUUUGUCAAAAAUGGUUCUUUAAAGCCAAUUACCUUAUAAAUCUUUUGUAGAUAACUUUAUAUGACUAAAUGAAGAUAUGUGAAUGAAUUUUUAAUUGUUGAAUAUGAUAUUAUCAUAAGGUGUUGCAUUUUCUCUUUACUUGGAAUAUGAUAAGUAUUUGGAAUGGUGGAACUAUACUAUAUGGUUGAUGUUGAUUAAUAUUUAUAUAUCAAUUGAUGUUGAUGAUUACUGAUAAUUAUGAUGAAAAUGUGAUGAUGACUCUUAAUUGGAUUAUGACUUUAUUGUUGUGUGGACGUAAAUAUUUGAUAAUGCAAUUGUUGUUGAUGUUAUCCUUUAUAUUGUUGUUGAAUAUUUAUGAGGUGAUUUUGCAUUGUCAAGUCUUUCCUUGUAUGUCCAUGCAUCAUAGUCAUGUUGAGUCUUGAUGUUGUAAAGGAGGGUUACUCUUUUACUUUGGUGAUAAUGUAAGACGGGUGUGAAAUUUUACAUAUGAUGUUUUUGUUGCAUCAUGUGUGACGACCUUGAGGUGAUUUGGUACCACAUGCAUAUAUGUGUCGGGAUUAGGCACAUAUCAUAUUGGCGUGAGUCUUAAUUGAUGUAUUUGAAUGAUGAUUGAUGAUGAUAAGUGUGUUUGAUGAAUACAUACUUGUGAUAUUUAGAAUUGUUGCAUGAAUGUGUAUAUGGAAGUUAAUUGCUCAUGAUUAAUUAAUUGAUACUUGAUUUGAUUCAUUUAUGUCUAACUAUUUAUGUGGAUUAUGAUUGUUGUAAAGCUUACCCCUAGUGGUUUUGACCACCUACCUGUCUAUAUGGAUGGGUAGACGAAGUGCAAGAUUAGUCGCUUUGGUGAGUUGCUUGGUGAUUGCUUAGAUAGAGGGAGUUAUCUCCGUUAUCGUUUCCUUAGAGUCUUAGGAUAGGCUCUGAUCUAGGAUGUAUGUCUUAUGAUUAUUCUAGAUUGUUUAUUUUGGAUUUAUUUGUGUUGUGGAGAUUUACCCAAUUGUCGGAAUUUGAAGAAUUUUUAUGUUGAUGUAUUUUGACCUCAUGGCAUGUAUACUUUUGAAGUGUAUGGUUUAUAUCCGCUGCAACGGUAUAGAAUUUUUAUAUAUGCUUGUUAUUUGAACAUUGUUGAUGAUGUGGCGUCUAUUUCUUGGAUAUUUAUAUUAUUCGCGUGUUUUAUUGCUUUAAUAGAAAUAGGGCGCUACAAAAAACAUGCUAAAAAUAACGUAAGAUGUCCUGUCAUCAUACAACGAUUGAGAAAAAGAUAAAGAUUGUCUAAUACCCAAGACUUCUUACAUAACUAUUUCAUCAAAGCAGAAUAGUUCAAAAACUGGAAGGUGUGGGUUUUCAUGACCUAGGAAUACAGGUAGCUCAAGUGAUGACAACAUAAUUUAUGGGAAAUAUGAGAAUCAUCAAGUCUGUGGUAAUGUCAAAUGGAUUCUCAAUCAGAAAAGAAUGCAGAACCUUUAUCCCAGACUUUCCCUCGAUCAUCCAAGAACCAAAUACCAAAGAUCUAGCAGACCUAGUGUCACAAGCUUCUGAAGAUCUAAUCUGACAUGGACCAUGCUCCUAGGGCAUGGACCAUGCACCUAGGGUAGGGUGCGUUUCACAGUCACAUGCGCCUAGGGCAUGGAGUGUGCUCCCUGAGAACUAAAAAAGUGUGGGGCAAAAUUGAUUUUUUUUCGACUUUUGUGUUGUUAUUUUAUGUUGUGAUUUUCUCAGAUUGGAGUGGAGGUAGGAUGUGAGAGUUCAACAGAUCACCAUUUGUAUGACUGAACAGACUAUUCAGAAAAUCUGAAUCAGUGUUUUGAUAAAUGGUUUAGCUAGAGGGUAAUGAUAUAGGUGGCGAAGGAAUAAUGAUGGAUGGUACUGAAGAAAUGUUAACAUAUUAUGUAAGCUCAAGAUCAAUACCUUUUGUAUUAUGAGAUUCUUCUGCUUUGCCUGGUGAGGUUGGCUCAACGGUAGCUGUUGUGAGGUUGGCUCAACGGUAGCUGCUUCUGUGACUAGCAUGCUGACUUCUUCUGCUUGCUUCUGUUGCUUCUCUUGGUUCUCACACUCAUCUACAUCGAUGAAUAUUAGAUGACACAAAUCUUCCUUAGCAUGUACAUUCUUCUUCCUUUCUGGUGAGGGAAUGAGUGAGUGAAUAGUACCAGAGUUCCUUGUGAGCUUGGAAAAAUCCGUUUUGUAGACAGAUCACAAAGUCACAUACUCUUAAUUUGUCUCUGAGUCGGUUUUGGAUUGCCUCGUCUUUUUGGGUGCUUGAGAAACUUUCUCAUCACCUUUCCUCUUAACCUCGACUUUCUUUAACUUCUUUGUUGGAGGAGAUGUUGUGACUUUGGAUGAUUUCCUCUUAUUCUUCUUGUUGUCUGCAGUUUCUGAGUCACCAGGAGUUUAAUCCGGAAAGAACUAAUCCGCAACUAAUUACUAAUAUUUUUCAUUGAAAAAAAAUAAUUUUAAAUAAGACUGGUACCUUGGUCUGUUGUAAAUUUGUAAGAACUAAUUUGACAGACAAUGAUAUAACUCAAAGACUAAUUUAUUUGUAAGUGCAAUAAUUUUGUUACUAAUUUUUGACCGUAAAUAACACACAAGUUAGCAGAAGGACCAAGUUGUUCAAUAUAAUUCAAAAUGUGAUUGUUUUUGCCAUGGCAUCCCCCAGUUUUUCUAUAAUUACACAAGAUUCCCUUUGUCUCGAUGGUUAGGAAGUACAAUUUUCUUUUGGAUGUCUCGUGUCUGAGUCCUAAUUCCCCUCAUUUUUAUAUUUCUAUUAUAUUAUAUUUUAAAUUUUAUUAAAAAAAUGUUCUUGAGGGGGAAUCGAACACGCACCACUACACUGAAUUCUAGCAAAAAACUGACCCCUAGACCGGUUACUGAUCUGAAGAAUAUUAUGAAACAACUAAACAUAUAUUCCAUAAAUUUUGGCACCCCCAAGAUAAAAACUCAAGAUCCGCCAUUGCCUAACUCAAGGUCCUAAAUACGCCACUACCAUUAACUAUAAUUAAUAAGAGUGUUUUAGAAAAUGAAACAUAUUUUGAACAUAUUUCUUAUCAUUUCUUUAACAAUUAUGUAAAACUCAAAAGGAACCCUUAAUUUGAGACAGAGGAUAUAUAAUAAUCGAUGAAGUUUAAUAUCUGCAAAAAAGUGUUAUUAAGUGAAGUAAACUUAACAAGGGUGACACUUGUUUUCUUUUGGUAAGGUGUGGGAGCACUCUUGACUGAGUUUCUAUUUUUUUUUUUUAUAUUCUUUUGAAAGUUGUAGUGGUGUAAUUGGGUGGUUAGUUGAAGUAAUUUUCGUUUUGGUUCUUGCUUGAUCUAUUUUGCAUUGUGAAAUUUCAAUUCUUAGUUUGCUUUCUACAUUGACGGAGUUGCUAAGUUGCAAUCAAACUUUUGAGUGUGUAUUAAUUAUAACAGUAAGAGUGUUGCUAGCACUACUCUUAUAUAAAAUCAGAUGUAUUUUUAAAUUUAUUUAUUUAUUUUUUUUUUUUUAAUUUCUACGAAAGUGGUGCACUUUUCCAUGAAUAUGCUUUUAGUGCAACUCCUUACCAAUGUAGUCAAACAAUUUCUUAAAACUCAUUGUUAUUAGUCAUUUCGAAACAAUGUAUUCACCAAGACAAAGGAGUGGGUGGAAGGAUAAUGGGUGCAUGCACAAUCAAGAAAAAGUUAGGUGAACAUUACAAUCAAAAUAUAUAGCAUAGAGCAUCAAAAUUUAUCGUAUGAAACAAUGUUUUUCUAAAAUAUGAAUGUGAACAAAUAACCCUUCAACUCAUAAGAUGAUCUUUAAUAUAUAGAAUUAGAAAGUUAGAGUAUCAGUACACCGAAAUUUAUAUAUUCAAAAGUGAGGCGUAGUUGGUUUUCCUCUUUAUGUAGUAUAGUUCGGUUUUUCCAUUUUAUUAUGGUACUUAUUCCUAUCAAAUUGAUAAAUCAGCUUUAUCUUAUAAUUGAUUUAACUAAUGAUGACUUGAACAUCAAUAUUAUAUAUUCGGAUAUACGAGUACUUCAUCGUGCUCUUAAUUUAGAGAUGUUUUGAGUUUGUUUACAAAUUGAAUCUUUGAAUUUUAGACAUAGAACUUGUACUCUUUUAGAUAUAAUAUACCGAUUUGAAUGGAUAAAUACCGUAAUUCCAAACAUAUAUUUUUUUUUCACACACAUACCUCAUCCAUUACGAAACGCAGGAACUAAAGCUAUAUAAUAUAGUGAAGCUAAUUUAAUAAAAAAUAUAUAUAUUUGGUGAUGCUAAACUCAGUCUAACUUAAUGCCAGUUCAAAAGGAACACUGUGGUAUGGAGGAAUUCUUUGUUUUGCAUUUAUAAAUGGCAACUAUACCCUAUUAAUCAUCAUCAUAAAAAUAAUUUUUAUAAUGUAUGAGACCAAGUUUCACGUCUCUAUUAUUUUUCAUCAUUUUUUAGAAUUGUACGAUCUUGUACCAGAUCUUCGUUUAGUUAUGAUGAUAGCAACCACUCUCACUGAAAAAUUAUAUAAUAACAUUUUUUUGGCAUAUUUAAUUACUGAUCCUGUCGGUGUAUUAUUGUAAAAUUAGGCAAUUUGUCCAAUCAAUUCACACAUAAUUUCAAACCUGGCAACUAUAUAAAAACAAAAUCAUAGGUAAAUAAUGUAGAAAAUCACCAACAACCCUUGAAUUUUGUUACAAGAAAGGGCCAAGUCAUCACCUUAUCAAGAUUGUGAGUGGAUUCACAAAGAUCACGACUAGUAUAAAAGGAGGAAGUCACUCUUGUGUUUUCUGCACCAAACUCAUAAGUCACUAACAUGGCUUCCUCAAACUUCCUAGUGCUGCUUCUUUUUGCUCUAUUUGCCAUUCCUCAGGGUCUUGCCAAUUAUGAGAAGCCUCCGGUUUACCAACCACCGGUGUAUAAGCCACCAGUUGAGAAACCCCCGGUCUACAAACCCCCUGUAGAAAAGCCACCAGUAUAUAAGCCACCAGUAGAGAAGCCUCCAGUUUACAAACCACCGGUGUACAAGCCACCUGUGUACAAACCCCCAGUAGUGAAACCCCCAGUCUACAAACCUCCUGUUUACAAGCCACCGGUGUACAAGCCACCAGUUUACAAACCACCAGUAGAGAAGCCCCCAGUUUACAAGCCACCUGUAUACAAACCCCCAGUAGUGAAACCCCCAGUCUACAAACCUCCUGUUUACAAGCCACCAGUUGAGAAGCCUCCAGUUUACAAGCCACCAGUAGUGAAGCCACCUGUUUACAAGCCCCCAGUCUACAAGCCACCAGUAGUGAAGCCACCUGUAUACAAGCCUCCAGUCUACAAGCCACCCGUUUACAAGCCUCCAGUUGAGAAGCCUCCGGUCUACAAGCCACCUGUUUACAAGCCCCCAGUUGAGAAACCUCCAGUCUACAAGCCACCGGUUUACAAGCCUCCAGUCGAGAAGCCACCAGUUUACGGACCUCCUCACCACCCAUAGGACUCUCGGAUGCUUUUAAGUAAAUAAGUUAAAUAAGAGAUAUAUAAUGUUUCCAAAGCAAGGAUUAUAUAUUCUUGGAAUCUUCAUUUUAGUCUUUUGUUUACAAAUCCUAUUACCAAGAUAAGAAUGUGAAAGAAAAUGGUGCAUUUGUACUCCAAGUUAUGAAUAAGAACGUUGUGAUUUAGCACUUUUUAAUUUGUGUUGGUUGACUAAAUUGGACAUAGUAUAUAUAUACUCUACUUAAUACUCUGUCAUAUCAGUAAGGUGCAUGAAAGUUCAAUUUUCUGUAGUAGACAUAACGAAUAAUUAAUUUAUGUUUGAAUCUAGAAUUUACUAAACUUCACGUACUUGGAAUUUCAUUGCAUUAUAGCUUGACUCAGUAGUAGCUUUAGUGAAAAAUGAUUUUGGUGCUUAAAAUUUUAAGAGUUGGAGUUUGGACAAAUUAUACACUCAUAUAAUUUAGUUAUCUUUUCAAAUUUACAAUUACAAUUUUCAAGGUUCUAUAUUUGUGUUGAUGCACCAAUUAAGAGAAUGAUCAAGAAAAUUAGGUUUUUAAUUGGUUUUUAUCGAUGAUUUCUGAAGAUAUAUUUCGGCAGAUGAACUAAUCCUUCAAUUUAAGAGAUUAAAUUGCCAUUUUACAAAUUUCAAUGAUUAUAUUAUUACCUAAUCUUAAAUAUAAUUUUUAGGGCUAAAACGAUGAUUCACUCAAUAUAUAUUGUGAUUUCUUAUUUUUUUUAUGAUAUAAAGAUAGCUGAAGUUGUGUGAUAUACAAAGUUAUAUUUCCUUUGGAAGAUAAGAGUCCCCCACCAUAUUGACAUGAAAGUGAACGUGGGAAAAUAUGUGCAAUUAAGGUUCCAAAUAUUAAACAAUAGCCACAAUAAUUGUCUAUAACUCAUAACAAAUAUAAGAACUUGAUAAGAAAAAUAAUAAAUAUAAGAACAUGAGCAGGCCAUAGUUUUUUAGCCCGAGAAGCUUCAUCUUCUUUUUAAGUCUAACAUUUUUUAAUCUUCAUUCAAAGAAGAUUGGUGAUUUUGGGAUAUUUUUAUAAGAUAGGUAAAUAAUGAAAUUUGUGUUGUACUCGAAGAAAUCUACCACACGAUUUGAAUGAAUAUAUUACUUUUAGUCAAAAUAAAUUAAAAUAAAGAAUGUAACAUUUCAAACUCACUCACAUAUAAAGAAUGAAUUUACAAUCUUUAAAACACAAAUAUUUAAUCCUUAAAUCUAACACCUCUCUUAGUUUUAGCGAAAUGAACUUUGUGUUGUACUCGAAGAAAUCUACCACACAAUUUGAAUGAAUAUAUUACUUUUAGUCAAAAUAAAUUAAAAUAAAGAAUGUAAAAUUUCAAACUCACAUAAAAAGAAUGAAUUUACAAUCUUUAAAACACAAAUAUUUAAUCCUUAAAACUAACACCUCUCUUACAUUUAUUUUGUUUACGUACCUUUAUUUUGUUUUCAAAUACUUAUAUUUAGUUGAAUUCCUUCAUUAUACUCUUUUUAAUGAAUUUUCUGAACAAAAUAAAAUUGUGUUACUCAGUCACUCAAAUUAGAGUGGAUAGAGCAAUGAAAAUAUUUAUUACUAUGUAGUUUAUAGUUGGAGUGAUCGGAUAGUCUAGUGGGAUCUUAGCCACUCUCGUUUGACUCACUUGGAGCAUGUCAAAAAUAUUUUUUUGAAAAUGAACGAUGGAGAUUUACUUUGCACUAGGUCCAGUGAAAAAGAUAUGGGAGAUAAUCCCAAUCUUAGCUUAUUGGGUAGGCCAGUGUUGAGAAUGGAUUCUCUCAAAUGUAAUUAUCUCACUAGUCUAAUUACCAACACAAUCAAAGAGAAAAAAUAGUGGGAUGUAAGUAAAAAAUCCAUAUUCUACUUACUCAAUCAUCUAUACAAGCUACUUUAAUUAUCUAGUCGAACGUUACGAGCGUUACAAGAGAAAUCAGAAUAUCGAUGAUCAAAAUCCUUCAAAGCAAAAGAUGUUGUUGUGUGCAAGUGUGAGUUAUAUGCCCCACAUCGGAUAAAAGAGUAAAGGUUGAACACCUUAUAAGUAAGAGGACCAUAAACCCAAAGCCUUAAGGUUUUGGGUAAGAGUGUGGUGUCUCCCUUGCUUGUCUGGUUGUUCUAGCCUCGAUGUGGACGCUCCCCCAAGCUCCCCUCGCUGACCCAACAGUGGUAUCAGAACCCCGGUUCGAUGAAGGGUACGACUGAGGCCGCCUGUCAGUUGUGCAGAAAGCAGCAACGACGGUACAAGCAACAAGUGGCUUCUUGUGCAGCAACGGCUAUACAUGCAAAGUAAAAAGCUUCCACGCGGUACAAGCAACAAGUGGCUUCUUGUGCAGCAAUGGCUAUACAUGCAAAGUAAAAAGCUUCCACUCUAGGGGAGCGACUCACGCUUGAGGGGGAGUGCUGUUGUGUGCAAGUGUCUGUUAUAUGUCUCAAAUCGGAUAAAAGAGUAAAGGUUGAACAUCUUAUAAGUUAGAGGACCCAUAAACCCAUAGCCUUAAUACUGUCCUUUUUGCAUAUUUAGCCCCCCCGAAACCAAUUUUAACCAAUUCAACGAUGACGUGGAUGUCACGUGUGUAAUGCUUUAAUUAUUUUAGUUUUAGAUAGAUACAGAGAGAGAGGUGUCAUAUGUCAAAAAAAAAAAAAGAUAGAAAAGAUUUCCUUCCUUGAAUCGUUGAGGUAACUACAAACUAAGACAAUGAUGUUAUUGGUUACUUGUUUCUAAUACCUUUGAAAAAGAUAGUUAGACCAAUGUAUUGGUCAUUAACUCUUUUCAAUGGUUACUACCCUAGUGUCUAAGGUGAGUCAUAACAACGUCAAAGUAAGUACAAUUAUUAUUAAUUUAUGUCUACACCUAAUCAAUAAUUGAAGGUUAAGAUAGGUCAAGCCAACAAAGUUAAGGUUAAGAUAAUCAUUUUCACCUAAAUUGAUUUAUGAACAUAUGUUAAUGAUGACAGUCCGUCAUAUCACAUUUUUAGAGUCUUUUCAAUUAAGUUUUUAUUCUAAUUUUAUUAAUUUAGUACUUAAUUUAGAGUCAUUUUAAAUAAAUUGUCAUUUUCUUAUUAUUGAGUCAACUAGUGUAUUAUUACUAUUAUUAUUGGUCAAUUAGUGGCUAGUAAAGAGAAUGAAACAAAAACAUGGUUUUGUGAUGGAUGUGAUUGGCCAAGAAAAAUGAUAACAAGUUGAACGAAAGAAAAGAAGACCACACAAUGUUGCAUUAGGGUGCAGGAAUCAAAACCAAUAUAAUUGGGCUUUCUUUCAUGGACGUUGAACCAAGAAAAAGAAAAGAAAAGAUAACUUGCUGCAUAAUGUUAAUUUGGAAAGAAAAAUAGGUUUGACAAGCUAUAAAAGGAGACCACGCACAGGAACAAAGCAGACGAUUGGGAAAGAAAGAGCAGCACGCGGUACGAGACAAAAGGAGGAGGAGAAAAGCUCAUGGAAUUUGGAAUAUGCAACAGUACUGAUUAAAUAGAACAAAGCCGGUAGACCAUAAUUCGAUCGGUUUAUUUCUUUUAGUAUGUUGUUUAUUCCUUUAAUAUGUCUAGUUAAUUCCAUUUGAUUGAGUCACGAUGAACCUAUUGUAAUAUAUGAAUCAGUAGUUAAAACUCUUUUUAUUAUCAAUAUUAUUCAGUCUUUAUUCAGAAUUAUCUGUGUUCAUUGCCUUUCAUAUGAUUGUUUGCAUUGUUUGCAUUGUUUGCAUGACUAUUAACCCUAACUUCUUACAAUCACAUAAAUUGAUCUUAGGAAUUGAAUGACUACUAACCCUAACUUUUAAUCCUGAAAUAAUAAUUCUGUUUAAUUCAACAUAGGAACCUAGAGAUAGGAAAUUGAGGAUUAUGACAUAUAACGUUCUAACAUCGCUUCCGCGGUUAUUCAACCAGUUUAAAAGAUUAAAAGGUUAUAACUUAGGAAAUGGUUUUGAGUCAAGAGAUUGAUCAAAACUAAUUAGUUAAUUUGUCGUAAAGAUUGAAUAAGUGUUGAGAGCAAAGAGAGAUAAACUAUUUCACAUAAAACAAUAGAGGAUUUACCGGCUGAUCAUCUGUUUUAAUCCAAUUAUCAAACCAUUUUAUUUUAUGUUAUUUACUUUUUAUUGCACACAAACGUACUGCCUCAUACACUUAUAAAAUUUACACAUCCUAGAUAUUAACUUUAUUGCUAGUUUGAGAUUAACACAGUCCUCGUGGAUACGAACUUAUUUUAUUACUUCGAUAGUUUUAGUACACUUGCUAAAAUAUUUAUGAGUUAACCAAUAAAGAGUAUCAAGAACAACUUUAACCGAAUAAAAUAGAAAAGUAAUUAAAUGAAAUUUAUAGAAUUAUUCAAAGUUACAUAAUCAAACAAUUACGAGGAAGUUCUUAUUUCAUGACCUAACAUAUAUAGUAUUAGCUACUCAUAGAUUUUCUAAACAUAUAUAAAUAGAUAUGAAGAAGAAAGCAUGAGAAAAGGAUCAGCAAGUGAGGAUUAAUUGGCUCCCUAAUGGCCGUGGUCACUCCAAUCCUUCCAAAAUUGUGUUUCUGCCUUCGUCUUCUCGCUAAAAAGUAUUUUCCACUAACUUAGGUUUCAAUAUUUAUAGGUGUGCAUUUCCUUAAGUUUUUGGGAAAUUGGCACACGAUGCGAUCCUAUUCCUCAUGAUGCGAGGAUAACAUAACUAAUCUUGUUGGCCUCACGUUUAUUGUCCCGAUGCAAAGCUCAUGAAGAUUGAUACGAUUCAAGGAAAUGUGAUUUGAUUUAACCAAGCAAAAACCAAGAUCAUAGGAUAACAAUGAUACGAUUCAAAGAAGUGUUAACUUGAUUCACAGUAAUACAAUUCAAAGAAUCAUGAAUCGUUUAAAAAUUUAUGGAAAAUUAGCAGAAACUUUUCAUGAUAAGAUUCAAAAAAGUUUGAAUUGAAUCAAUUGGUUAGAAAAACAUUUUGACCAAGAAAAAUGAAGUUUUCUUUAUACAAACAAAACACAAGACAACAAGGGAUCAUAUGAUUUAUGAGGCAAGAUUUCUAGGUAUGCUUUAACAUGAUAUUAGUCAAUAACAACUAAUAUCUAAACAUCAUCAAAUAAAAACUACCUAAUGAACAUCAUAAAAACACAAACCUAUAACUACACAACUUCAUCCAACUUAUUGGGUGUACCGCAUUAACUAGAUAAUGGUCAUAUCUAUACUAUAUAUAAAGAAAAUAACAUGUUUUUCAAGGUGAGAAAAACACGAGAGGGGGGGGGGGGGGGGGUUGAAUUGUGGUUUCUUUCUCUUCUCCUAAAACCGAAUUCACUAUUCAGAACUUGAUAGAGUUCAGCUUCUGAAGUAGUGUUCAGAGUCUAGUUGCAGCGGAUAAGAAAAGAGAGAGAGAGAGAGAGGCAAGACACAAAGCAACUAUACAGAUUCCUUCCACAAACCGGAACUAGUCAUGUCCCCCUUGCACCUCCAAGAAGAGUUCACUAAAAUCAAUAUUCGAUUACAAUUGCUCAGGGCUCAAAAUAGCAAGAGACUUCAAACUACUCAAGAACAACUACAAGAGAUUUCCUAUGCUCAAGAACAAAAUCAAGAGACUUCCUAUGCUCAAGCACAACUGCAAGAGACUUCAUACAAAUCAGAUAAGACUCUUAAGAUUCUAGAAUUUCUAAAAUAUGAAAGUUGAUAAGAAAUUCUAAGUGAACUUUGAUGUGAAACAUUUUUAGCAGAGUUUUGGCACUUGUAAAAUUGUUGUAAGUCUCUUAGAAAUCUUCAAGUCUUCACUCCUUUAUAUAGAGGUGUGAAAGAGACGUUGUUGAUUUCCAACACAUUAAAAGAGUCGUUAUUGAAGCUUGAUCAAAUUUCAAUUCCAUUCCAAGUAUAGAGGAAUACCAGCGUAGUCACAAUUGUUGUUCUUGUACUAUUGCAGACAGAAAACAGAGUAGUGGAGAAGGUGGUUGUACAAUUGUACUAUUGUCCUUUUCCAAUGUUCUUCAAGGGAUAAGCAUCCAAUGACUUCAAAUUCCUCUUAAUUAGUUGUUGCUCUAGACUUCUAUUCCUUCUGCAAUGAUAGGCAUGAUAAUAACAACUCUUGACAAAUAUUGAAGCUUCCAGUCUUUCAGCUUAUGAUCUUAAACUUCUAACGACGUCAGCUUCUGGUAGUCUCCAGCUUAUGAUAAAAGUGCUUCUGAUGAUGUCAUCUUCAGAACCUCUUUGUCUUCAAAACCUCUUUUCCUUCAGAUGGUUCCUUGCAACUCAAGCUUCCUUUUUUUAAAUUCCAUUGCUCUCAUUUGUUCUUCUAGAACCCAUGCUUCAUUUAAAGACACUCAAAUUUUUGUAUAUGGUCCUGCACACUUGAACAAAUAUUAUCAUAUCCAAUUGAAUUUUUUUAAUACCUUGUUAUCAUCAAAACUUAAAGGGUAAUGUUAAACACAUUUUGUUCCAACAUUUUUGACUCUUUUAGAAUGACUUUUUCUCUUUCCAAAAUUACCAUCAACUUUCAAUACAAAUAACACAUACAACAAGAAUUGUGUUAUUUGAACAUCCAUAUAUGCGACAACUUUUGUGACAACCAAAAUUUUACAAAGAAAAUGAAGUAGUGGCACAAAAACCAAAGCAAUAGAGAGAGAAAGUAAAAAGAUAAUGUGAGUAUGAGAGAGAAAGUUGUCACAAAAGUUGUAAAAAAUAGUUGUUCAAAUAUCAUUUCUCCAUACAACAAAUAGAUGAGAGUAAAUUCAAACAUUAAAAUAAAAUUGUAAUACACACGAUAUGAGUAUAUAUGUCCAGUUUUUUCCUUUAUCAUUUAAAAAAUGUAACAAACAAGAUGAGAAUAUCAGAGAGAUGAGAGAUAGUGACGUGAGACAAGAAAGACCUCUCCGUGGCCCGCCUUUGCUUGAACGGUGGUAACCGCACCAGAAUUUAUCUCCAUUUGAGAGAUACACUAGGGGGUAGGUAUGCAGCCUGGGUGGUAGAAAAUGGGGGGGGGGGGGGGGGGGGUAUGGGUGAUUGGUCUGUAGUUAGGUCACGAAAGAGGAAAGCGACGCAAUCGGAAGAUCGAGGAAGGGACAAGUCAAGGGUUUCAGAGCGACGCGGAGGCACGGUAAGGGUUAGAGGGAUCGCACAUAAUGAUUACGGGUUUGAUGGCAGAGAGGCGCGACAAUCAGCAAGGGCUCUUCAUGAUCAGCAAGGUUUGGGUCGUUAUCAGUUUGGAAACAACGAUUUGGCUUUCGACAGAUGCGGGUCUGAUGCUAUCAUGGGAAAAGGCUUCUUCGACGACAAACAUAACAAUGGUAGUAAAAUUACUUUCUAUUUUGCAAACAUUCCUGAUUAUAUGCCGUUGUUUCGUCUCCGUCAAUACUUUGAAGUGUGUGGUAUUUUGUCUGAUGUCUAUGUUGCCAGACAACUAAAUUCACGUGGUCAGGUCUAUGGCUUCGUUAGAUUUUUGAAUGUGAGGAACAAGGACAAAUUAGCACAAGAUUUGAAUAAUGUAUGGAUUGGUGACUUUAAGGUCUGGGCGCGUGAAGCAAAAUUUGAUAGGUUUGCACAAUAUGAUGAUGAUCAUAGGGUGUCUAUGCAUGGUGAUAGAAGGGAUGAGAAUGGAGGGGAGAGGAGGCCGGUGGUGAGAACUAAUGGUGAUGGAGUAAAAAAUAUGAGGAUGUGUAAUUUUAAAAAAAUAGGAGGGAUAAUAAAAAUAGUUGUUGGUCUCAUUUUAAAAAAAAAUAAAAAAAUUGUUUAUAUAUUUUUGUUAUAUUAUCGGUGUCAAUGAAAUGGAUAAUCAUGGUUAAUUUGAUUUGUUAUAAUUUGAAAGCAACACACAUUUAUAUCUUUAAUUUUAAUCAAAAUCAAAAUGUUAUAAAAAAUACUAUUGCUAAUUUUCAAAUGUUAACACAAUAAAAAGAGCAGAAAGACGGAGUGCCCGUCUUUUCACUAGUUAUAAUAAAAGAAAUUUUAUUUGAUGUAUUGAUAAUGAUACUGAAACUUUUUACACAUACAUCCAAACAUUAUUCAUGACAUCACUUUUAUACAAGUUCUAAAAUAUCGCUGUAACAAAAAGGUUAAAAAACAACUCAUGAAAUAUGUACAUGAUUUAAUUGAAUAUAUGUGUAAAAGAAAUUAUAUAUCAACAUCUAUAAAUUAAAUUUAUUAUUGAAAUGAAAUACUAGUAAAAAUGAUGGCCAGCAUUUAUGAAAAUAAAGGUCUAACUGAUCAUGGGCCAAUUUAAAUCAAAAGUAGAUUUGUGCCCUCUAAAGGGUACUAGAAUAUAAAAGAUGGACGGCAAACAAGGGACACAAAGAAUAGAGAUGCUCAAUUUAAAACACAACUUCGAUUUUUUUUUUAUUUACUAAAAAAUAACUUAGAUUGUUUAGAGAAGAUAGGAAUUCAAUUAGUCUGACAACAUAUUUUGGAAGUACAAUUAGUUUCACAAUUAACUAUUUUGAUAAUCCUCCUUAUUAAAAAAAAAUUAAUAUUCCAUUUCGUCAAAUAAAACAAAAAGUUAGGGAGUGAUGAGAGAUCUUAGUCAAUAUUGUUUUGCACCAUAAUAUUUUUGAGAGAUUGAUUUGGCAUUUACAUGCUUCCAACAAAUACAAUGUAACAAGUGCUUAUAAUUAUAUGAUAUCGUCUCUUAAUAUUGUGACAGCUGAUCACUUAAACACAAUUUGGAACAACGAGGUCCCUCUGAAAGUUAGUCAUUUUACAUGGAGUUUGCUCUGUAGCCGAUUACCAACAACAAAUAAUUUUAUCAGAAGGCACAUUCUUAAUCAUAAUGUUCAACUUUGUGUAGGCUUUUGUGGUAUAAUGUAAGAUAUAGACGAUCUAUUUCUCUCUUGUGAUUUUUUUGAAAUUUUUUAGAUUGGUAUCUAUAAUUGGCUCGGCUUUACUAUGGUACAUCCAGAACAUCCGAAUAACUUUUCAACUCAUAUGGUUAACUUGUGUUUGGGUGAUUUGAUGGGAAAGAAAUGCUUGAAGUUUUCGCAAUCAAGAAGAAUCGUUACAACAUCUUCUUGACAAAAUUAAGCUUCAAUCCUAUUAGUGGUUGAAAGCGAAUAGAAUUUUCGCUCAAUUUUAAUAAAGUGGAUACUAUAUGAGAUUUUCGCUCAAUUUUUUAUGAGUAUGGACUGCACUUGGCGUUAGUCAUUGAACUCAUUUUACGAGACUCAAGUUCCAACUUAAGCCAAAAACUGAAACCAAACAAAUGAAGUAAAAAACUCAAGUUCCAAACUAAUGCGUGAUUUUAGUCAAAACAAUGUUUAUUUUUUGACAGUAGUUAGUUUUGGAUUACAGCUAUAUCCCUACACCCCACAAACUAUACCCCUCUCACCAAUAGACAAAACAAAAGAGUAGGUGGAAGGGUACAUAAUUAAGAAAAAGUUAUGUGAAAAACAAUAUUUUCUAUAGCCAAAACCAAAAGAUAUAUAUUGCAUUAUUGCAUAUAUACCAAUAAAAGAAGUACUGUGAAAUACAAGAUAAUGGCAUUAGAUUAGAAAUGGCCAAUUUGAUCUGUCUAUUUUUAAUCAUAUUAUUUAGAUUUGUUCAAUCUUUUACCAAAUCUUAUUUAGUUAUGCAAAAAGCAACACCUCUCGUUGAAAGAUAAUAAUAACGAUUUUUGGCAUAUGUUACUAAUAUUGAUUGAAAAAUGUUACCAAAUGAUGCAACUUCCCAACUCCAAUCCACUCAUAAUUUCAAACUUCGCUACCAUAUGAAAACAAAAUCACAGGUAGAAAUGUGUUGGAAAUCCUCAACAACUAUUGACUUUUGGUACAAAAGAGUGCCAAGUCAUUACUAAUUCAAGAUUGAGACAUGCAGCUGUGAGUGGAUUCACUAAGAUCACGACUAGUAUAAAAGGAGCUGGUCACACUUGUAUUUUAUGCACCAAAUUAUAAGUCACUAACAUGGCUUCCUCAAACUUUCUAAUGAUGCUCCUCUUUGCUCUCUUUGUCAUCCCUAAGGGGUUUGCCAACUACGAGAAACCUCCAGAGUAUCAUCCACCAGUUGAAAAUCCCCCAUUUUAUAAACCACCGGUAGAGAAACCACCUGUGUAUAAACCACCAAUAGAGCAACCUCCAAUUUAUAAGCCACCUGUAGAAAAUCCUCCAAUUUAUAAACCACCAGUAGAGAAACCACCCGUGUAUAAACCACCGUUUGAGAAACCUCCAAUCUACCAUCCACCAGUAGAGAUACCACCAGUGUACAACCCACCAGUUGAACAUCCUCCAAUUUACAAGCCUCCUGUAUACAAACCACCAGUAGAGCAACCUCCCGUCUAUAAGCCACCAGUAGAGAAGCCUCCAAUUUACAAGCCACCAGUAGAGAAACCUCCUGUUUACCAACCUCCUGUUUACAAGCCCCCAGUUGAGAAACCUCCAGUGUACAAGCCACCUGUAGAAAAGCCACCAGUGUACAAGCCACCUGUAGAAAAGCCACCAGUGUACAAGCCACCUGUAGAAAAGCCUCCUAUAUACAAACCACCAGUAGAGAAACCACCAGUGUACAAACCACCCGUUGAGAAACCCCCGGUUUAUAAGCCACCAGUAGAGAAACCACCUGUGUACAAGCCACCAGUUGAGAAGCCCCCAAUUUACAAGCCACCAGUAGAGAAACCACCUGUAUACAAGCCACCAGUUGAGAAGCCUCCAGCUUACAAGCCACCAGUUGAGAAGCCACCUGUAGAGAAACCACCAGUGUACAAGCCACCGGUUGAGAAGCCCCCAAUUUACAAACCACCAGUUGAGAAGCCUCCAGUGUACAAGCCACCGGUUGAGAAACCACCUGUCUACAAGCCACCUGUAGAAAAUCCACCUGUUUACAAGCCACCAUUUGAGAAACCUCCAAUUUAUAAACCGCCAAUAGAGUAUCCACCCGUGUACAAGCCCCCUUUUGAGAAACCCCCCAUCUACAAGCCACCUGUAGAGAAACCUCCUUUUUACAAGCCUCCGUUUGAGAAUCCACCAUUUUAUAUACCUCCAGUUGAGGAGCCUCCUGUUUACAAGCCUCCAUUCGAGAAGCCACCAAUUUACACUCCUCCAUUCUAGAGCCCACCUUACCACCCAAAGUUCCCUCGGGCAGGCGAUGGUACUCGUUAAUAGAACAUGCUAUGAAGAAAAUAUGUUAAAUAAGAGAUAUAUAGAGUUUUUUAUUUAAUCAAGGAAUAUAUAUAUUCAUGUAAUCUUCAUUUCAAUACUUUGUUUACAAUACUCUUGCUAUGAUAAGAAUAUGAGUGAAAAACAGAGAAAGAAAAUAGUGUGCUUUUCUAUUCGAAAUUAUGAAUAAGAUUUCUAUGAUUUAGAUGUUGUGUUGGUUGACUAAAUCGUGAUACAUCGACAGAGGCAGAGCCCCUCAUGCGCCAAGGUGGGUCAUGGCCCACCCCCAAAUUUUGUUUCUUAUUAUAUAUAUAUUAUGUUUUGUAAAUUUUUGAUGUUUUUGUAGCAUGUUGUAGUGGUUAAGAGCCUUUUUGCCAAGUCGUAUGUGCUAGGUUCAACUCUUGCCAAAACCAUUUUUAUUUAUUCUUUUAUUUUCUUUUGUAUAAAAAAAAAACAUAAUUCAUAAUUGUUAAAAUAAUCCUUUUUUUUGUUACUUAAUCCUUUCUUUCUUUAAUAAAACAUAACUCCUUUAUUCGAUUUAAAAUAAUCUUUCCUUUCCUUACUCUUAUUUUUGGAUACAAUUGUCUCUUUACUCUUUUAUUUUAAUUUUUUUUUUAUACAAAGGGGACUUCAACUCUUUUUUGUCAAAAAACAUUCUCUUUUAAAACAUAUAACAUAUUUUUUAUACUUAGUCGUUUGAUUCAAUUCGAUUUUAUACCUAUACAUCUGUUUAUUGAAGUCGAGUCAUUUAAUUCAGUCGUUAGGUUCAAUGGCCUAGUUGUUCGAUCAAUUAUCUUGAACUUUAUCAAGGUUGAUAAACAGUUCAUAUUUUAAAAUACCGGUUUAAAUUAUAUUCAACAAAUAACAAAUUUAUAGUCAUUGGAACCAACCAAUAAUAAAAUGUACUUGUAAGAAAAUAAAGCCUCAUCACUAUUUAUGGCCCACCCUAUACUUUUUUCCUAGCUCCGCCACUUUACAUCUUCGUAUUCUUUAGGAAGUUUCAACCUUGUUGACUAUGACAACAGUGACGACUAUAACGAGACUCGCUAUUGACUAUGACAACAGUGACGACUAUAACGAGACUCCCUACUUUUUGGUUUGCUUCAACAGGUUCUCAACAUAAAUAACUAACCAAGUUAAUUUGCCUGUGAAAUGUGAUAUUAGUAAGGUGCAUGAAGGUUAAGUUCUUUAGCAAAGCUUAGUAUCUUGAAUUAAAGAAUAUCGUUAAUUAAACUAAAUAUUCAUAUUAGGUAUCACAAUUUUCAAGACUUUAUAUGUACGUGUUGAUCCAUUAAUUAAGAGAAAUUAGACUUUAGACCCGUGCGUCGCACGGGUCAUUUCGACUAAUAUAUAAUAAUAAGUAAUGGUAAAAAAAAUUCUAAAAUAAAUAAAAGAUGAAGAGUAUUAUACAUUUUACUUACUCAAGUUCAAAAAAUAAAGUAGGAGAUGACAUGAAAUCGUUUAGUUGAAACAAACGAAUAUUAAAAAAUAAAAAUUAGACAACGACAGGGAUCUAAAAUUCUAUUUCUAAUCCUUCACAUAUCAAAAUUACAAUUGGUUCUCUUCAUUGUAAUCAUCUAAACUUAAUUAAAAAAUUUACAAGUGCAAAUAGAAUCGACAUUAUACAAGUCACUACUUGAUUCCAAAAACCUAUGUUUCAUGAAAACCACUCAUACCUAAAUAACAAUAAUAAACCUUCAAAACAAAAAUCAACUAUUCUCAAAGGACCCAAAAGAAAGAUUUUUAGCCUUCUAAAUCACAAUUUCUCUUGUUGUAUUGUUUUUGUGUCAAAAGCACCAUAAGUUGAAUAGUAGGCUCAGACACAUGACUUUCCUCAUAAGACAAAAUCACCAGUUUUUUAUAGGUUGAAAAAAUAAAUCAAAUAUCCUUAACUUUCAAUAACGCUUAGAAACAACUGAAACUUUUGCAUUAUCUCAAUCCACAAACAAAAUUGAAGACCUUUAUAUUUGCUUUAGGCACCUUAAGGAAUUCUAUGUAAAUUGUUUUCCUGCAAUGAAAUGCUAAACACAAUGAGCAAAGAAGAAGAAUUAACAACAAUAUUUGGAUUGUUUUAUUUAGCUUACAAUUCUUUAAACUAAUCAANAACACAAUGAGCAAAGAAGAAGAAUUAACAACAAUAUUUGGAUUGUUUUAUUUAGCUUACAAUUCUUUAAACUAAUCAACAAAAAAUUAAAUUUGCAUUAUAUCCUCCACAAUAUCAAGAAUUUUUCAAAGGGAUCAUUCUAUUUGUAUGGCUAUGAUGAGAACUCAUGUGUGUCCAUGAAGACCAGCUCUACGGAUAACCAUGUUCAUAUUAACUAUUUUAGGAGUGAAAAUAGGAUUGGAUUGGAUUUAGUAGUGAGCUGUUGUUUUUGAUUUCAGAAGCAUUUGAAAAUAACAUUUUGAUUAAAUGGAAAUAAUAGGAAGAAUUUGUUAAUAAAAGUGAUUUUUUUUUUUUUUUUUAUGUUGAUCUUUUUAUUGUUGUGUUAGAAACAAAAUAGGACGAAAUUGUAUUUUUUUUUUUAUGUUUAUCUUUUUAUUGUUGUGUUGGAAACAAAAUAGGAGGAAAUUGUUAUAGGAAUAGGAGGAACGAUUUUUAAAGUUUAUCUCUUAAUUAAACAGGUUUAAUUGAACACGGGGGUAAUAACGUAAAAGUCAUCAUAAAAUCUAGGUUAAAAUUAGGUUAAAAAUUGGCUUACGGGUUAACUUUUAUAUAUAAAGAAGUCAAGAGAAUCUAGAUCUGUGAAGCCCCGAUACUUCAAAAUGGAUGAUGUAUCGUAUCCGCUGCGUAUUCUGUAUCGAUACCUGCCCGAUACUUCUCAAAUUUAUGAGUUUUAUUUGAUUCUUCGAAUUCGAAUUUUGAGAAUUUUAGGGUUUGAAGGUUGGUGAUGGAGGUGAAUCUGAGUUUAUAUUAAGAAUUGAUGAAGAAUUUAAGGAGAGUGCAGUGAUGGAUAGGUAACUGAGUAUGAAUUGGUAUGCAGUUUGGAAAAACAAAACAAGAGGCAGUAGCAGCACCCCCACCCUUCCUCUACUUCUUCGACAAUAUGAGUGUUAGAUUCAUUUUCCUAGGUGUGAUUUUGAGGCAGAUGAAUAUGUGUGAGAGAUUGUAGAGGAAGAUCUCAGAUAUAGCUUUUAGGGAUGAACAUGAAUGAAUGAAUUUGUAGAUGAAGAUGAAUGUUGUUUGAACAUUUAAUUAAGAAAUUUUUAAUUGUUUUUUGUUUUAAUAUUUGAAAUUAUUAAAUUGUAUUUUGAAAUUCAAAAAACCUGUUUUAAUGACAUGUAAAUGACAUUUUCCAAAUUGGCAAUGCCACAUAGGCAAAAUUUUACCACCUGUGCAUUUUUGGAUGUGAAAAUAGGGGGUAAGACUAAAACUGCAACAAAAAUGAUAAUUGAAAAACAAUUUUAAUCUGUUUUAAAAGGGCAGGACCAAUUUCCUGAGUAGGCCACAACACGAGGACCAAAAGUGUAAUUAAGCCUUAUAUUUAUGUUGAUGUGCUACAAGCUUAUGACUGGUUUCUUUUGUUUGAUAAUAUAUUUGCAUAUUAAAUAAAAUGGUUAUAAUUAUAUUCUACAUUUAAUUAUAUAAUUUUUUUAUUGACGUAUCCCAACCAUAUCGUAUCUUGAUUUUUGAAAUUUUUUCGUAUUGACGUAUCGGUGCAGUAUCGUAUCUCGUAUUCGGGCUUCAUAGAUCUAGACUAUUAAUUUUUUUGAUAAACAAGAUUAUUAUUAUUUUUUGACAAAAACAAAGUGAGAUUCAUUCAUUCAAAUUGAUAGAGUACAUCAGAUACAAACAUUGCUAAAAACGUAAAGGAUAAAUCUAUGAACAAACUCACAACACUAAAGUUCAUACAACAGCAAAAUGUCUACAAAUAAUAUGAUAAAAUCUAAGUCACCAAAAUAUUCAUGCUUCCGGGUAUGCAACGUUGGCGCCCAAAUCAUUGAUUGAAUUUGUAAUUGACUAAUGUCGAUCUUUCAACAUGAACUAAACGAACACCGCGUCAAGACGCGAAAUCAAACAUCACAUAAGACCACUAACAACACAAUGCCACAAUUAGAUGACGAAAUCACAAAAACUCAAAAGGGAAAACUUGAUAUAUGUGAAAACCAUUUGUUUAGAUCGAAAGAAAAGAGAAAAAACGAUGUAGAGGGGUGAUUUUAGGUCAAAAAUGACCUAAAACCAGUUCUUUUUAAUAAACGAAGGAGAAAGAAUGUUUAGAGAGAAGUUGGAGUUUUUUUUUACUUAAAAAAUUAGGAUAAGCAAAAUUAUUAUAGAGGGAUAAAGGGCUCCCCAACCCAUAUACAAAAUGAUGGUUGCAAUGCCAUGUAGAAAAUAAAAAGAUAACAUUGCCUUUCUUUUUACAAUUAAACUAGUUACAAACCCGUGCGUUGCACGGGUUUAAUAACGUAUUUUAUAAAAAAAAAAUCUUUUAAAAGAAAAAUGAGCAAAUUAAUGAAUAUUGCACAAACAUUAUAAAUCUUUAUCAAAAUAUUUAUGAAAGCUUUAUCAAGUCUUUAAUACACAUUAAUAUUUGUGAUGAUUGAUAAAAGAAUUAAAAAGAGUAAAGGGUAUAGAAAUAAAUUUAUUAAAGAAUUAACAAUUUGUUUAAACUUAUUUUUGUUACAAUUUAGACCAAAAAAAAUAUUGGACUUCAUUGAGUUUCUCUAUAAUUUUUUUAUCAGGCUUGAAGUUAUGACUCUGAGUUUGAAAACCGCAAAAUUCACAAAAAUUAUUGAAGAAACACUAUAAACAAAUAAACGGCAUCGUCAAAAAUGAAAUCAUAUUUGGCUAUAGUGAUCAAGCAAACAAAAAAAAAGAAGCAUAUUAAAUACCUAUAAUCAAUGGAUUCUAAUUGCAUAGAGGCGACACUUAUACUUUCUCUAUGUUUGUUCAUCAAUGAGAGUGAUUAUUUUGCGCUUUCCUUUCAGAAUUGUUCUUGACACCUAGUUUGGGAAAUGCUAAACAGGGAAAUAACUGUAAUAUUAAUCUAAUGCAUAUUAACAUGGAUAAGAUGUAUGCGAAUAUAGUUAUAUAUAACUUAUGAAAUGAAGGUAACAUAACUGAUUUUAAGCUAAAGAAAAUGUACCAUGACUUCUAAUUUAUCUUUCUAUUAUCUUCCUAUAAAGUCUAGAGAAAUGCAUGCAUGUGCAUUAUAUGUACCCCGUUGACCAAUUAACAUUUUUGAAACAAAUGAAAAUUAAGCAUCACUCCCGCAUGUGCAUCUAUAGCUAACACCAUUUGACAUUGAUGUCUUCGAACAUUUGGUGCAACUCUCAUAAUACCAUCCAAACUGGUUAGGAUUGAAUUUAGUUGUUUUUCCAAAUAGUGAUGGAGUAUGUAUCCUAACACAAAUUAUGCACGUGAAAUAAAGAAUAGUGCAAUAUGCAUUUUUAAUUUGUGCGUAAAAAAAUUCAAAGCAUGUUUGUGAAAAAAAAAAAAAAAAACAGACCUUGACUAAGUUUAUAGAUUCAUCAAUUGGCCUAACUUGAGACAGAUUGGAAAAAUCGUUCUACGAAGUACUUUUUAAACUUUACUUUUUAAUCUAUCUGAGCUUGAGAAGUGUUAAGUUCACGACAACAAUUCAAGAAACAUGGUCAAUAAACAAUCAAAUCAGAUUGUGAAAUAAUAAGUUACUCUAACACUGUAUUGUGAAAUCAUAAUGCAAACUUACUAAGUCUUAAACUUUUCAACAACCGGAUGAUGUAGGUUGAUGAGCAGCCUCGAACCUGACCAAUUGUUACAUCUAUUUGCGUUGUCAUUGACUACAAAAUAGAAGCAAAGAAUUCAAGGUAAAUAAAUGGUAAAUGAUAAAGCUACAAAGUAUUUUACCCAUAAUGUUACAUCAACUAUAUUCCCAAUGCUCUAAAUCUCUAUAUCGAGUUAUUACAUGAACUCGAUCACCCUAAAUCCGAGAAAGAAACCAAAAAAUAUAAAUAAAUCAAAAUGUAUACUAAUAAGUAACAUUGAUAAAUCAUAAAAGAAAUUACUACAAAUCUUAACUAACUUAUCUAACCUUUGCAUCACAAAUAAUGAGCUUCAUAUGUUGAUUCUCAUUACUACCAGUCACAAUUCAAGAAUCCAGUACUCCAAAUCCUAUUUUCCAAACGUCUAAAUCAUUUUUGAGAUACUUAAUGUAGUCAUAAUCCCUUGACAUUGAAAUUCAUAUAUAGAAAUACAAUAAUACAUCAUUUAAUUUUAUUCCCUUUGUUCAUUCUGAUAUCGAAAGAAGCUAACAUAUUUCUAUGUGAUCAAUUUUUGUAUCAUCAAAUUAACCUGAUCUUAAAUGUACAAAUUUCUAUCAUCAACUUUCUGGACCCCAAUGAUAUGAUCAAAACAAAUUUACACCAAUCAACUUUUUGCACGGCUCAAUGAUAUACGAAAGAAUAAAUAAAAUAUGAAAACUGUUACAGCUUUAGGAUUACUCACAAAAACUAAAAUAAUUGAAAUGCAUCAAUUAUUUUCAACUCCUGUACCAGAAGCUAAAAUAACAAUUGUGUCAAAACCUUACCAUCAGUUAAAAUUCAGUCAUCAUGACCUCUACUAUACUCCACAUAACAAAAGACGAUUUUUCUACAGCCAUGCAACAUAACAAAUUUUGGUACAUAAUCCAAUAACAAUUGGAAAAAAAAAAAAAAAACCCUUAAAAUGCAUAAUCAUGAAAAAAGGAAGAAAACCAUCUAUGAUGAAGCAAAAACUAAAACGGUGUCGAAAAAUGAAGCCCUUAAGCCAUAAAAAUCAGUCAACUCAAGUCAUGCAUGGUCUCAGAACCAUGAAAAAAGAUAGAAAAUGACCUUUUUUUUUUUUGUGGUGGCCGGGGUUUGAACUCCGGACCUUGCAUAUUUUAUGCAUUGUCCUACCAACUAAGCUAAGCUCACGAGGACGAAGAAAAUGACCUCUUAUGAAGAAGAAAGUGAAACAGUGUUCCCGACUGAACUUAGAUACCGUUUGGUCAAGGUUUUUUACAUUAUAAAAGUUACUUCAAAACAAAGUAAAAAUAAAGGCCUUUAUGAAAGAAACUAAAGUUAUUUGGUUUUUUUGUUUUGUUAGUUUUAAAGCUAUUUAAGUUUAAUGUUGUUUGGCAAAAUAUUGUACAAACUUUGAAUUUAUUAUUUUUUAUAUGGUGUCUGGGGUUCGAACUCCGGACUUGGCAUGUAUUUAUGCAUUGUUCCUAUCAACUGAGCUAAACUCAUGAGGACAAAACUUUGAAUUUAUUAUUAAUUAACAUAAUAAAUAAAUAAAAUGUUUAGAAUAAUUUAUGAAGGCUAAAAAUGUUAAAAAAAUAAAAGAUAUUUUUUUUACAAAUACGAUAUUUACUCAAUAACGUUUAUUUUGUGUAACAUGAAUACAAAUUAAUAUCAUCAUAUAAAUAACUUGUUAAAUAUUUGAAUAGGAGAAACAAUUUAAGGAGUCUGGAAUAAUAAUAUAAAUAAUAUCAAAAUAUUUGAUUUUUUCUAUUUCAAUUAUACUCUAUAACAAAUUUCGUUAUAAGAAUACCAUAUUUUUUGUGUCUUUCAAAAAGAUAAGAAUUUAUAUUAUAUGAUAUUAUAUUUGUUACAUUGUUGGUGUCAUGGAAACAGAUAUGUUUAAUUUUUUUGAACAUGAAAAUGAUAUGCAUAGUUUGUUACGAUAUAAAGGUGCAAUAUAUAUAUAUAUAUACACCUUUUUAGGCAUCUAUACCUUUUUUUGAAGAAAAGACAUCUACAAUUUUACUUUUAAUUAAAAUUUAAAUUUUAUAAAAAUAAUCAUACGCAUUAUGCAACGCUAAAAAAAAUUAUACACAUUAGCGUAACAAAAAAACAGACACACAUAAAGAAUUACUCUAAACGCUAAUGUGUAUGUGCGUAUAUAUUUGCGAGGUUGAAGAAAGAAAAUACAAAUAUUUGAUAUCAUUAAAUGACAGCGUGAAUAAAAAUAUUUGUGAAGUUGUGAUGAUUAAACGAUAUUGAAAUUAUAAGUGAUAAAAAGAUAAUAAAAUUCCUUUGAAAAAAAGGUAAUAAAAUUAAAUGGAACCUCCUUAAAAAAAAUUAAAUUGAACGCUUCAAAUUAAAUGGAAGAAAAAAAUAUAUUGAAGUAUAAUAUUAAAAAAUAAAAAAAAAGGUUCCCAACGUGAAUUGAAGAGAGAUGCUUGUGAAAUAAAUUGUCGAGAAGUAGUUUUUUGAAGAAGCAUUCAACAACUUUUGGUCAAAGUUCAUUGCAUUCAAUUUUAUGCAUUAAAAAAGGUACAUUUUUUAGAAAGUACUUAAUUGAUAUUGUAUUUGACCUAACUUCUCCUUAAAAAUAUAGGGAAGUUGAAAAAAAAAACCGGGUCAAACGGUAUCUUAAUUUCCCACAACGGCAGUGUAGAAACAACUGAAUUUGGGAGAAAAAAAUUGGAAAAUAGUUAAAAAUAAAAAAAAUUGAAAAAUAGUUAAAAAAAAUCGGUGAGGUAGCACCUAACCAAACAACACUAAAAAAAAUUAUAUGCAUCAGCGUAACAAAAAAACAGACAGACGGACAUAAAAUAUUACUCUAAACGUUAAUGUGUGUGUAUAUAUUCGCGAGGUUGAAGAAAGGAAAUAAAAAUAUUUGGUAUCAUUAAAUGACAGCGUGAAUAAAAAUAUUUGUGAGGUUGUGAUGAUUAAACAAUAUUGAAAUUAAAAUAAUUAAUAUUGUGUUUGACCCAACUUCUCCUUAAAAAUUUAGAGAAGUUGGAAAAAAGUCGGGUCAAGCGAUACCUUAAUCUCCCACAACGGUAAUGUAGAAGCCACUGAAUUUGGGAGAAAAAAUUGGAAAAUAGUUAAAACUAAAAAAUAAAAAAAUCGGUGAGGUAGCACCCAACCAAGCAACACCAAAAAAAAAUUAUAUGCAUUAUCGUAACAAAAAAAUAGACAAACAGACAUAUAAUAUUACUCGAAACAUUAAUGUGUGUGUAUAUUCGCGAGGUUGAAGAAAGGAAAUAAAAAUAUUUGAUAUCAUUAAAUGACAACGUGAAUAAAUAUAUCUGUGAGGUUGUGAUGAUUAAAUAAUAUUUAAAUUAAAAUAAUUGAUAUUGUGUUUGACCUAACUUCUCCUUAAAAAUGUAGAGAAUUUGGAAAAAAGCCGGGUCAAACGAUACCUUAGUCUCCCACAACGGCAAUGUAGAAGCAACUGAAUUUGGGAGAAAAAAUUGAAAAAUAGUUAAAAACAUAAAAAUUGGAAAAUAGUUAAAAGUUAUUAAAAAUUAGAAAAUAAUUUAAAAAAUUGGUGAGGGGCAAAAUGGGAAAUUUGGCAUAAAAAAGAUGAGGUGGCACCAAACCAAACCCACCAAUUAGAAAAUUACUUAAAUGCCCAUUCCAGGGACAAAAUGGGAAUUUCAUAUGGCAUCAAUUUUAAUAGAGUAUAUAGACCACUCACAUUACACAAAUGUUGAAAUAUAUGAUGCAUAUUACUUUUUAAAUUUUUGGUUUAUAGUUGCAUUUUUUUUAGGGUUAAUAGUGUUUUUCACCCUUGUAAUAUAUGUCAUUUUCGGUUUUCGACCCUAUAAAAUUUUUAGUUUUAUUUUAACCCUCGUAAAAUUUUUAUUUUCCGGAAAAGACCCUUAAUAGGCCAUUCAAAAACCAAAAUUUCUUGAAAAAAAUUCUGAAAAUGGCCUAUUAGGGGUCUUUUCCGGAAAAUAAAAAUUAUACGAGGGACCACCUGUUGAGAAACCACCUGUACACAAGCCACCAGUUGAGAAGCUACCUGUUUACAAGCCACCUGUAGAGAAACCUCCGGUGUACAAGCCACCUGUUGAGAAGCCCCCAGUUUACAAACCUCCAGUAGAGAAGCCUCUAGUGCACAAGCCACCAGUUGAUAAACCACCUGUACACAAGCCACCAGUUGAGAAGCUACCUGUUUACAAGCCACCUGUAGAGAAACCUCCGGUGUACAAGCCACCAGUUGAGAAGCCCCCAGUUCACAAACCUCCAGUAGAGAAGCCUCCAGUUCACAAACCUCAAGUGGAGAAGCCACCUGUAUACAAGCCACCAGUUGAGAAGUUUCCAAUUUACAAACCUCUAGUAGAGAAGCCUCCAGUGCACAAGCCACGAGUUGAGAAACCACCUGUACACAAGCCACCAGUUGAGAAGCUACCUUUUUACAAGCCACCUGCAAAGAAACCUCCGGUGUACAAGCCACCAGUUGAGAAGUCCCCAGUUUACAAACCUCCGUUAGAGAAGCCUCCAGUGCACAAGCCACCGGUUGAGAAACCACCUGUAUACAAGCCACCAAUUGAGAAGCCCCCAGUUCACAAGCCUCCAUUCGAGAAGCCACCGAUUUACACACCUCCAUUCUAGAUGCCAC
rnacentral:lncRNA from 1 species